GAGCAGCCACCUUCAUCUUCUCUUCACUCGGUUUCUACUUCGUUUGCAGGAGGGAGACAAUGAUCUAUUUUUCUUUUGUUCUCGUUCUGGUUCGUGCCGCAAGGGAAGAAGGCUUCAUUUCUGUUCUCUUUCUUGGUUCCGGGUGGGGGUUUUUGCACGUUGGGGAUGUGUGUUCAGGUGGCUAGGAUGCGAACUCCGUUCUUGCGGCGUAGUGAGCCUGGCAACAGCGGCACCUCCGCGAUGGCUUGAUUCUUGACGUAUUCGCGGUGCCAGAGUCCCUGUUUAAUGGCAUCGCGGUUUUGAGGAUUCAUAUGGUCAUUUCUGGUUUGCGAUUUGGGGUUGUUCCUAUGGUUCUAUUAUUCUUUGUAGGAUGGCGGUCCAAGGUUGAGGGUUUUGAUCUUGUAAUUUGGGGGUUUGAUUUUAGGGUUUCAGUAUUUGGGAAUUUUUGCUUUAAAGUUUUGUUCUUGAUUUUUCUGAUGUUGCGAUUGAAAGAGUUGGGAAUUUUGUUUUCAAUUUGGAUUAUAGGGUUUUCCUACCCUUGCUUUCUCAUUUUGGAGUUAGGGUUCCUACAUUUAGGUUUUCUAAUCUCAUGUUUUUGGAUUUUGGUUGACGAUGGUGAUGUAAGUUUGCGGCAAUGAGGGAGCUGAUGGGUGCGGCCAAUGGGUGUCGCGAUGGCUCUGGCAAGGUUGAACUGUGGUUGAUUCAAAAUUUGGACCCUAAAUCACAUUUUUCCCAAAUUAAAAAACCCUAUCUUAAUAAUACACCAAAUCUUCUGUUAGUAAGUGACACGUCAGCAUGCAAAAAAUAAUAUACUAACACGUUGCCAAUAACCGGUGCCAGAUCAUCAGCACACUAACGUCGUUUGGUCAUACUUAACGAAAGAGACUAGUUAGACACAAAUUUGACUAACUAUGAACAUAUUCCAAACACUUUUAAAAAUGGAGACGAAUUUAACAUUAUCCAACGAAAAUGAGGAUUAAAGAAGAUAUUAAACCAAAAAAUAUUAAAUGAAAUAAUUGUUUUAGGAUAAUGUCUUGUGUUACAGAUAAAAUAUUUUCCAUACACUACACACAAAAUAGAAGAUUUAAACAGAUAACCAUUUAGAAAGAUUUAGAAUAAAAAUUAAUCAGGACUUUAGGGGUUUGAAAUUGAAACAUUCGAAAAUUUUCAAAUUUUUUAUAUAAGACUAAACAAUAUUGUCUCAGACAAAUUUGUAUAUAAGACAAAUCAUGCUUAGACUAAUGAAAUUAAAUUUUGAAGUAUUGAUGAUUGAUUAAAGAUAAAUUCAGAUUACAAAAAAUAUAUAAGAAUUUGUCAACUCAUUUUAAUUUUAUAUGUAUAUAUAAAUCAUAUUAUUUCUAAAAAUUAAAUUAAAAAUUUGUAAUGAAGUUAAAUUCAUUUUAACCCUAAUCCUAAUCUAUUUGAGAAGGGGAUUUGAGAGUUAGGACCUUUUUAUCCCCACCCAAAGGACUUAUUAAGAGGGAUUUUUUUCAAAAAUAGGUUAGAACUAGUCCACAUGCCAUUGAUCAAAUUGACAACUUUAUUAAAAAGACAAUAAUUAAUUUGUAUUAAAGAAAAAACAUAAAUAUGAUUUUAAUUGUGUUAAUUUUAUUUAGUUGUUGAAAAUUGUAUAGUUUUAAUACUAUAUUAGUUUUCCAUAGAUAUUUUACCCAUUUUAGAACAAGAUGGUAAUAUGAUAAAUAAUGUGUCAUUUAUCACAUCUUAGUUAUUAUAAAAAUGACAAUGGUCGAAUUAAACAUAAAUUUAUUAUUUCAUCUUUAAUAAAAAAAUUAACUUUUAUAUAUAUUCUAUUAUCAGUUAAAUAUUUAUUUAAAAACACUCACCAGUAUUUUAAAACACACGUGAAUACUUGCCGAUAUUAAAAAAACAAUUUAUAAAUAUUUAAAAAAAUUAAAUAAAAUUACAAAAAAUAUAAAAUAUAAUAUAAACUAAAAUUUAAUUUUAAUUAAAAUUAACCAUAAAUUAAUUUUAGUUUUAAUUAAAUUAAAUUUAAUAAAAUGUAAUUUUAAUUUUAAUUUGAAUUUUUUUUCAAAUAAUAAAUAUUUGGAAGUAUAGAUAAUAUAAUACCUAUACUUCAUCCAUUUACAGAAAGUAUUCCGCUACUUGCAUAUAAUAAAUACUUUGAAGUAUAAGCUAUUCUUUACAGAUUUUAUUAACAAAUAUUCACUAGUUUUUUGCUUUCCUCGUUUAUGUGCUUGUUUUCAGCAUUUUCUACCUUUCUUUUAUGUAAUUAAAUAACUUCUUUUUCAUUUUAACAUAUAUAUUUAGAAAUUAUAAAUAAUUAUGAUAAAAAAAUUAUAAAAAUUGUAAGCAGGUUGAGUUAAUUUAUCUCUACUCUAGUCCAGCUUAAACUUGUUUAAUAUGCUAAUUAAGUUAAUCGAAAUCAAUUUAAUCUAUAUUUAUAAAAUUAUUUUAUUUUAACUCAAUCCAGUUUAAACACGUAGUUAACCAAUUAGUUCAUCAAUUUGAACUCAAUUUUGUCGCCUUUAUUCCUAAUCACUCUCACAUACUUAUUUUAAAAUUUAUCCAUAUUUUUUUAGAUUGUACAUUUUAAAUAUUAUUUAGAUUUAGUAGGUUGAUUGACUCCUUCUAAAUAUUAUCCAACGGCUCUGUCAACAAGUAGAACCAAAAUUUUCUCUUAAGAAAUGUAAGAGGGAUAAAAUAAAAAAUAAAUAAAUACUUAAUUUUGUUUACGUGAAUAAAAUAAAAUAAAUUGGAAGACAAUAUUUUUUUAUUAUUAUUAUUUUGGAAACUAUUAUGAAAGAUGUCUUAUUUGGAGAUAUAAUUACUGGUUUGAAAGGUUGGUUGUUGUAUUAAUUAAAAAGCUUAAAAAAUGAUGUCAGUAAACUUUAAGAGAAACACGUGUUCCACAUUUCUUUCACCAAUUCUCCCCUUGUUUUCCCAUUUACACCACCUUCUUCUCAUUUUCAUAAUCUUUUUCUGUCAUGUCAAACGGAGACCUCCAACAAAGACAAACAUAUGCAUAUAACCAAGUUCAAAAUUUAAAUUAAAAACCUUUCACAUACACAAUAUUUUAUACCAAAAGAAUUAAAUAAUUUUAAUCUUCUGUCAUUCAUACAUUUUUUUAUAUUUCGUGUGAUUUUACAAAAGUUAUAAAUAAAUUUGCAAAAAAAAAUGGUUAACAUUUUUUUAUAGAUAAUCCAAGAGAGAAUCUUACAAUAUAUAAUUUUUGUAGUGCUUACAUAAGAAAAAUAUAUCAGAACAAUAUUAAAUCUCUUUGUGUAAUUGCUUAUUGCAACCAUAAAACAGAUAUGAUGGCCCAAAUAAAGCAUUACUAAGACCAUAUUAAAUCAGUUUGUGUAAUUGCUUAUUGCAACCCAUGAAAUUUCUUCUUGCACCCACAAUACAAUGAAAAUACUCAAAUACCCCUUACCAUUUCAUCAUUGUUAUCGUCGUUGUUAGAAAACUCUUUCCAAAACACAUUUUAUGUAGGAGUAUUCUGUAAAAUUCAUUCCAAAAAAAGUAUUAUAUGUGUUUUGGAAAGUUUAUUCUGAAAAUUUGUUCCAAAAACAUGUUUCAGAAUUUAUUUCACGUGUUGUGAAAAUUCUAUUAUGAAAAUCUCAUUUAAAUAAUUUUUUUCUGAAAAUUCUAUUGUGAAAAGUUUUGUUCCGAAAAUUUUACAAAACCUGUUUAGGAAUUAAUAAUCAGAAAGUCACUUUUACAAGGGAAAACCGGUCUUUUCUAAAAAUUGAUGGAGUGUAGGAAGCAAUCGAUAUUGCUUCGCAAAGCCCAAGCCCAAUUAGAAAAGGCAAAUCCUGAAAUAAAGUUUAAAUAAACCGUUCCACAAUUCUUAUUGAAUUAAGAAAACUUAUUAAUCAAUUCUCAAAAAAAAAAAAAAAAAGAAAAACUGACUUGAGCGUACCUGCUCGAAUUCGAACUUUGCAAAGAAAAAGACGAAGAAUCCUAAGAAGUGAAGAGAACUAAUAAGUGCAUCUCUCAUACCUACAUACUAAAAAAUACAUAGUAAUAUUUUAGAUUAUGUUAACACUAAUUUAAAUGACAAUACUUUUAAAUAAAGUAGAGACUAAAUUGAAAAUAAAAUAAAAUUAAAAAAUCACAUAAAUCAUGUAAAUAUUAAGUAAUUAAAUUUAUUUCGAAAUUACACUUUUAUUUUUCUAUUGCUGUAGAAAGUAAAAUUAAUGUAAAACUGGUCAUUUAAAUAAUAUUUAAAUAUCUAUAAAUAUCAUCCUAUCUUAUUUUAGUUUCUUUAAAUUUUGUACUAUUAUUUUUAAUUUAUUGUUAUUAUCAUUAUUUUAGUACAAAUAACAUAAAUAUGGAUUAAGGUAAUUAGAUUACUUUAAGUACAUAAUUAUAUUAAAUGGUAUAUUUAAUAUUUUAAAAGUACGAUAGUGACAUACUUUUUAUUUUUAACAUAAUAUUAUACAAAUUAUAUUAAUCUUUUAUUAUCAAAAUAAAAUCAUUAUUUAUAAUUUUUGUGAUUAUAAAUUUGUUUAUCAAUAAGUAAUGUUAGUAGCACGUCAUAUUACUUGAAUACAACUAUUUUAUAUUAAUUUUGAAUUUCAUGGAGAAGAAAAGAAUAAGAGGAUUUUUUAUAUUGUUUUUAAUUUUAAUGUAUUUUAAUUAAUAUUUAGUAAAAAUAUAAUAUACAUUUUAUCACUUUUUUCUUUAAAUGUAAUUGUUGUUUAUGGUGUAUCAAAAAAAGUAAAUGAUUUUAUUUUUAUUUUUUUCGUCAACGAGAAUAAAUGUUUUUAUUAUGAUUGAAAAUUUUAAUAUCAAAAUUAAUAUAUAGAACAUAAACAUCAUACCAAGAAUAGUCACCAUACAACACUUUCCACAUUUUCAGAAGUUAAUGGUGAAUAUCAAAAUUGUAUAAAAAAAUAAAAAGACAAAUCUAUAAGUUGAAGUUAUAUUUAGUAAAUUUCCUAUUCUAGAAUGAAGAUAUAAUAUACAAAAGAAGGAUUUAAAAAUUGUAAAAAACGUAUUAAGAAAGACAUUAAUUGAUGGAAUAGGUAAUGUAUAAAUAUUGUCACUUAAUCAACCAAAAAGCAAAAUGUUGUUUUGGUUUGUAAACAUUAAAUUUAUUAUUCCUUGGUGGGAUUUAGUUUCAUCACGUGCAAUAUCUACUCAUAAUUACUAAUAAUGAAAGGAUGAAACUUCUCCCAUUGUUGUCGUAUGCUGUCAAAAUAUUGAAUGAGAUAUUCACCAUUCGUUACUUUUAAUAUUUCUUAAAUUUAAUACGUAGAAGACAAAUAUAUAUCAUGAUAUUUAUUGCAUACUUUUUCUUUUCACCGAAUAAAUAUGUUUUAGGUUUUUAAAUAUUAUGAAAAAUUAAAAAUAGUGUCUGCUUAAAAAUUUGAAGUUGUCUAAUCCUUUCUACUUUCAACACACGUGUUUUCCAAAUUUUAUUUAAUUUUUUAUGAAAAAUGAAAUAUUCAUUUUUCAGAAUUAGUUACUAAUUUUUAAAAAUAAAAAUAACUGAAACUGUUGCAUCAUCCAAAAUGUUAAUGUUUUACUCACUUGAAUGAAUUUGGAAGAAAAUAAUCGAAUGAAAUUGAGAAGAUUUGAAAGUAAAUUUUUUUGUUAUUUAUUUGAGUAGAUUUGGAGAUAAGUAAAAAUAGAUUUGUAAAUAAAAUUUGUAAAAACUUGUGUAAGAUUUAAUUUAUGUAACAGAUUAAAAAAAAUUUACUUUUAUAUUUACCUCCAAAUUCACCCAAAUAAAUAAAAAAAAAAUUUAUCUUCGAAUCAUCUCAUAUUCAUUUAAUCACUGUCUCCGGAAUUCACUCAUGAAUAUAUUGAAGUGAACAUAGAAUAAGAGAGAAACCACAGCCAUCAACAAUCGUUCUCCUCACUUCCAACCCCGAUUCAAAAACCAGAUAAUCAAUCACUCAAUAACAAAACACACAAUCUUCAUUUUUCCACCUCCAUUAUCACCAACCAACACUGAAUCACCUUCAAUCCCACAAAACAACACAAGCUUCAUUCAUUUUCGGUUCAAGCUCCUCCAUCAUCUUUCCACCAUUUCCAACAAUCAAUUCAUCCAUCAUACCUUUUAUUUUCAACACCGCAGAAACCACUCAACACAAUACACACAGAUCAGAGAGCAAAAAAUGGGAACAAGAAAUUGAUUGCGAGGAAGAGGGUUGAAUGGUCGUGAUGACAUCGGAGCUCCGACCAUACCUGAUUGACGCAGUGGUCAUACACUGGUAAACAACUAUGGUGCUAGGCUCUAAAUCGCAUUGUUUCUCUUGUGAGACCCGUUUGAGCGGCGCUGCAAGAGACCACUAGUGCAGAAAGGGCUUUAAACGUUUGUUAUUUUGGGUUUUUAACGUCUUUUACACAACCGACGUCAUUACGGGUGACGUUAAUGGGACGUCGAAUUUCCAUAAAACAGACGUCUAUAUAGACGUCAGUUAGUGUCAUUUCCGACGUUAAUAGACGUCGGUUAAGGCCUACUCCGACGUCUAAGAGCACCAUAUAGAUGUCGAUGUGGGAACCAACCGACGUCUAAGAGCACUAUAAAGACUUCGAACAUGGCACUAACCGACGUCUAAGGUCACUAUAGACGUCGGUGUAGGCAUUAACCGACGUCUAAUAUAGUCGUUGUGUUUUAGUUUUGUUUUGUUCCUGUCUUUGGAUAGCCUAGUAGCACACUUUGCCUUUGCUAGUUUCCCCUAAAAAAAAACUUGCGUCUUUUGAAUUUUUUAUGGCAUUUCAACCCAAAACCGAACCUGGGUUCUUGCCUAGUUCCAUUUUCAACCGCAAGAAGAAAAACUUACGGUGAAACGAUAACUAGGGAACGACACAUGGUCAUUUUUGGGUCGAAACGCCAUAAGAAUUCCAAAAGACGCCGCUUUUUCUGGGAGGCAGCUAGCAAAGGGAUAAUAUGGUACUACAUUACCCCAAGAGAGGAACAAAACUGCACUAAGAUACAACACAAAGAAAAUACAUUUUAAUCAAUUGAAUUAGAAGAUAAUAGAUGAAAGACUAAUAUAAUCAGACUGAAAUAAAGUUUAAACUGUUUAAAUAAAAACAAGACGCACCUGGAAUGCAAUGCCGCAAGAGAGAAAAAGGAGAGGAGAAAGACGAUGAUGUUUGCGUAACUGUGCGAGUCUGUGGUUUAUUUAACAUGAGGCAUUGGACUUCAACUCGGUGGCACAACCACCUCGACAUUGGAAGCAACAGUUGAGAGGAGCGUAGUGCAGACACAACAUGAUCUAUCUAAAUUCGAGUGUGCGUGUUAUCACAACUUGUUUGCUAAGUUGGGAAAAUUAGGUUUGGAAUAUGGUGAAAUUUGGAACGGUCGGUUUGGAAGAGGAAGGGAUGGAGAAAUGAGAGAAGGGUGAAGGAAAGAAUAUUUUUCAAUUUUUUUUAAUUAUUUAAAAGAUAUAUCAAACAAGUGACAAACAUGUGUAAACAAACGUAAAUCUUCACGCACGAUAAACUUUAAUGUAGUUGAAAAUUAGAGAUCGAAACUAAUGUUUUUGAAAAUAAAGAAUAAAAAAAAAAUUAUAACAAAGUUUUAUUAGUUUUUUUUUUAGAUUAGACUUGUGUAUAAUUAAAAUAAUACAUAUAUCCCACAGUUUUCUUUAAUUAUUUAUUUACACUUGAGAUAGAAGGUCAUGAUUUUUCAGAGGUUAUUCGGAUCUCUUUCGAAUAUUUUGUAAAUAAAUAUAAACUAUUACUAUUAAUAUCAUAUUUGAAUUAUUAUUUUAAAUAACUAAAUCAAAAUAAUACUUAGCAUAAAUAAUAAAUCAAGAGUUAUUGAAUGAAGUAUGUGUCGAUCUUUCCUUUCAACAAUAUCAUUUUGUUGGAGAGUAGGAACACAAGUAAUCUCAUGAAAAAUUUCUUUGAUAGUAUAAAUUUAUUAAGAACAAGUUUUUUUUCAUUAUCAAACCUUAUUAUUUUAAGUUUACAAGAAAAUUGAUUUUCUAUUAAAAUGAUAAAAUUUUGAAGUAAAGCUUUGACAUGAAUCAUGUGAAACGACUAUAAUUAUUUAUAAUAAUAAAAAAAAAUAUUUAUACCCAUCAAUGGAAGUAAUGGAAAUGGAACCUCAAAUAUCAACAUGAAUGAGAUUUAAAAAACAAGUUGAUUUAGUUUCGUUAACAAAAAAUUAAAGAUAAUUAUGUUUAGCAGAGGCACAAACAUCACAAGAUUAAUAAAUUUAAAAGAACCAACAAAAUACUAACAUGCUAAUGUCUGAAAAACUUUCUUUGAAGGAUGACCAAGUUUUAUGUGCCACAACUUACAAGAAGCACUACUAUUUUUUAAAACAGAAUGGAAAGAAUUUGAUUCUGAAGCACUGAUGUUAUUAUUGCUAAAGAGAUAAAAGAGCCCUUGGUACAUUUUAGCUACAUCAAUCAUCUGAUAAGUACCCAUCUGCACAAUGAGACAAUUGUUAUAAUGAAAAAUGAUAAAACAAUUGUUGGAAGACAAUAGUUUACAGAUAGAAACUAGGUCAACAGAGAAUUACGAACAAAUAGAGUAUUGUGCAAAACCAAAUUUUCUAAUUUAACAAUUCCUGAGAAUCUAGGAGUUUGUGAUUUGGUAAAGGUAUAGAAAUGGGAGAAACAAGCUUUAAUGAAUUAAAAAAAAAAAAACUUUGAAGAACAUAUAUGAUCAGUAGCCCUACUAUCUAUAAUCCAAGAAGAAAAUUUUGAUAUAGAAGAAGGACCUAAAGAUUGUUUAGUGCAUUGAUUUACAGUUCCCAUGGGAGGAGUAGAAGUUUGAUAUUGUUUCAACAAGCCAAGAAUUGCCUCAUAUUGUUCCUGAGAGAAGCUGCAUUGAAUGUUUGGUUUAUCAGACUGAGUGGUAAAGGAGUCAUUGGAUGUGUGGGAAACAACAUCAGUCAUGUUAGCAGAAGGGUUGCAUUGAACAACAUUAUGUUCGGUGGUGGAUUUAUAACCUUGGGGAAGACCAUAUCAGAUCCAUCAAUUUUCAUGUGUGGUUCGCUCUUUGACAAUGAUCAAACUAUUUGGUACAACCACCAAACUUUUUAGUAUGUCCUCGUCCAUGAGCAAUAAAGGACCCUCCACAAGAAACAUUAGAAUUCUUGUUUUAAUAUUCUUGAAAAUUAAGAUUGGCCAUGCAAUCUUAUGGGGUUUGAGAUGAGGAAUUAUGGAAUAUGCAUUCUUGUUGAAGGACUAAAGAAAGGUCUCAGGAAGAACGAGCACAGGUUCCAUCAACAUGAUCUGAGAACGAACUUAGGAGAAUUCAUCAUUUAAACCAUGAAGAAACUUUAUGACAGAAUCAUCAUUUCGUUCUUGUUGAAUCUUAGUCAAUAAACCACAAGUACAAGGAGAAGGGAAAACAUACAAAAAAAUGGUUCUAUACAGAGAAGGUUCUUUCCAAAUAAUUUAUAAACGAGUAUAGUACUAAGAGACAGUUGAUUCACCUUAUUUACAAGAUUGAGGUUCCUCUUAGAGAUUUGUGAUACGAAACUUAUCACCAUGAGAAAAAUAUACAAAUGUGAUUAACUAUUUUAAUUAAAAGAUAAAAUGGUUUGUUAUUUAUAUUUAAAGGGUAACUUGUCUCUUUUAGUAAUAGUUAUAUAUAUUAAUUAUAUGAUAACAUUUUUAUCUACCACCUUUGUUUUGUGAUUUCAUGAUAUAUUAAUAUAAUUGUUUUAUUUAAGAAUGUAGAAUUAUGAUUUUUUUUGGGUUGGUUAUAGUAAUAUUAUAUAUAUAGUAUAUAAUAUAAAUUCUCACUUAUAUGCAGUGGUAAUAUAUAAAUAAAUAAUUGUAUUUAGAGUUAUGGUAGUGUUCAAAUAUUAAUGUUAAAUAAUAAAAAUAAAAAUAUAUAUUUUUUAAAAUGAAUAUGUUAGUUGCGAGUUCAUGGAUUCGUGGUGCUCAUGGUGGUGUUCAUGACGAAGAUUUUCAUAAUGGUGGUACUUAUGAUGGUGAUGAUGUUCUUGACGAUGCUAUGUGAUUGUGACCGUUACUUUAGGGGUAUAGUUAGCAUAGUGCAGAUGACAGGAUAUACAGGUGGUCAAGGCUUAGGAUUGAGGAACAAGGAGUAAGGAUCGAGGAUCGAGUAUUCAAAUAUCAUUGAGUUGUUUAUGUUAGAGGAAUAUGAAUCAUAUUGUUCAUACUUUUAUGUAUGAGGUGGUUUGAUUAUGGUUGAUAUAAUCUGUAUAUAUGUAUUUUUUUUAUGGUUGUUUUCAAUGGUAGCUUACCACAUACGUGUUUAUGUUUGUGUUUGUGAUGGAUAUUGUUGGCGAUGAUUAUAUAAUAUGUUAUACGUGAGUAGGUGAUGUUGUAGAUGAUCCAAACACAUGGUAGAUACAAGAGAUAAUGGGGACAAAUUUGAGUUUUCUUUAAAUAUUCUUUUGGUUUAGACUUUUUGACAAUGUAAUUUGAAAUUAUUUAUACUUAUUGGUUAUUUAAAUUAUUUUCAAAUAAUGUAAUUUGAAUCUUGCUUUUGGAAUCCAUGUAGUUUAAUUUGUUUUCCACGAGUUUAAAUAUUGAGGUUUUUGAAACAUAAGUUUUCGCGCUAUAAGAAAGUUUUUAAAUAUUUGGCUUUUGUAAACCCGUGACAUUCUAAAAUUGGAGUGUUACAUUUUUUUUUUUGUAUCAAAGCCAAGAGAAAAACAUUGCAGAAGAUCGUUCCAAAUCUCAUAAGUAGAGUCCAUCCACAUGACAAAUUAUUUGAUGGGAAGAAACAUAGAACACGUCAGCUUUGAGAUCACCAUCUUGUUGCAUCUUUUCCAUGCUUGAUGAAGAACAUCGUCAUGGGAGGGUAAGGAAUUGUACCGAGAAAAAAUAAUCUUUGUUCUAGGUUUCUAGGCCCACAAGCACAUCAUGCCACCAUUGUUGAAAAUUGGUGCCCGAGAGAGGAGGGACAACAAGAAUUAGGGUUGAAUUUUCUUCGAGAUGGAGAAAUAAAAGGUGGGUAGGGUUAGAUAGAUGAUCAAAGAAAGAAAUCACAUUGGUCAUGAGAGAAACAUAAAGUUUCAUUCUAAUAUUAUGAUAGUGUUUAACAUAAUGCUUAAAGGAGAAUUUCUCAUUAUUAUUGGAGAGAAGAAAAAAAUGUUUAUACACAUAUAAAGUGAAAGGAGAAAAGAAUAGAAACUAAAAAAAUAACAUAAUUUUACUAAUUAACAAAUUAACACAAAAAGAGAUUUGUUAUCUCUUUAUUAGUAAUAAAUAAAAUCAAGUUUUAAUAAAUUGAAUCCAGUUAUUAUAUAUUAAAUUGUAAUUAAAAUUUCUAAUUUGGUCUCAAAUUGGUUGGAAAGGACCAAAUUGAAUGGUUUUAAAAUAUUGAAAAACUAAAUUGAAUAAAAAAAUUUAAUAUAAAGACUAAAUUGAAAACAAUCAACAAUGACACUAAUACAUGACAUUGUCACGUGACACAACAUAACUUAACAUGUGAUGGUUUAUGUUUUUUUGUUAAAUUAAAAAAUAAAAAAUGAUUAAAAAACUUUAAAAUUUUGAAAAUUUCACGAAUUGAUAUGCAAGAUGUACAUAUAUAAUCUUAACCUCAAUCCAAUAGAAAAAACCAAAUUGGACGUCUUAUAAAUUUGAAAGACUAAAUUGAAGAAAAAGAAAAUAAAAAUGAUGAAAUUGAAGGAACUAAUUAAAUAUUACGAACAAAUAUGUAAUUAAGCAUAUAUGUUAUCAUAACUAGGACACUAAAUUCAAACUCAUUCUUUAUUGUCAUAUGCACAAAAACAUUUAUUAUUGAAUUGAACAUCAAAUUUCUUCCUGUUGAAGUUUCUUUCGUUAUAGUAAAUCAGAGCUCGCAUUCAUUCUAGAAAUCAAACUAAUCUAUCUCGAAUCAACAAGAUAAAUUUCCUAUAACUAUACUUCAUAAACUAAUUCUAACUAUUUUCAUAUCUUAAAAGAGAUGAAAAAAAAUAGAUGACAUGUAAGGUAGUCCUUAUGUGAAGAGAUUUAGAUGUUCAUCAUUUAACUAUAACUAUUCUGAGCAAUUACUCACUAUUAAUCUUUAUUAAAUAAUAUUAAUUAUUUUACGAAAAACAAAAAGUUCUCUUUCUUCUAUUAUUUUGGUUGAGAAAACCUGAGUUUGAAUCUGUCGUUUUUAACCUAUCCAAACCCAGUUUCGCAGCAACUUAUAAACUUUAAGGAAUUAAUUCCUAAACCAUGCACUGUGUACUUAGAAAUUAUUGAACUGUUGAGAUUUUAGGAAAAAGUUAGUGAUAAACUGCACAACCAGUGAUUCUUACGUGUUUACUGAUCUGAUUAUUCAUAAAAUAACAUAAAACUAUAUUAUAUAAUAAUAUUUAUAAACGUAAUCUUCUUUUUAAUGAAAUUUUGACCUAAGAGCUUUAGAAUUACUCAGUGAUAUGAUGGUUCAAUGGGGUGCACUACAAUGAAAAAUAUAGAAAAAUCCAUUGUCAAACCUUUGAAAAUGAAUGGUUGAUUAAAAGAUUUAGAAAUUAUUUUAUUUGUUUUGAAAAACUCAACAGUCAAAUUUAGGAAACUAAUUUUAAUCAACACUUGUUCAAGAAUUCUAGCGUCCAAAUUUCGGGCUAAAGCCCAAGUACCAAGGGCCUAAGCCCGUCCUGGCUCGGUGUGAAUGCUUUGACCCUAUUUUGCACAGUAUAUAACAAUUAUAUUAUGAUUAUUAUUAUUAUAUAAGUUGAAUGUUAUAUAUAGUUGGAGUAAUAAUUUUUUAUUUAUGAAUUAAAUAUGUUUGUAGUUUUUAAACUUAGGUGUGAAAUUGUAAUUCGUUGAUCUUUCAAAUUUUAAUAUAUUUUUAUUUUUAAAUUUAAAAAAUAAUAAAUAUUUUUUUUUUAAUCUAAUAACAUUUUUUAUAUGUUAAAUGUCGUUGUAACGUUGCAACGUUUCAAACUAUAUAAAAAAAUUAUCUUCUUUAUAUUAAGAAGAAUAUAUUUAUUACUUUUAAAGUUUGAAAAUAAAUUCGUAUUAAAGUUUAAAAUAAAAUAAAAAAUUGAAUUUGCCAACAAAAAUAAAGAAUUAAAAGAUAUUUAAGUUUUUAUUUAAAAUAAGACAGCAAAGGGUUUAUUCAGAGUUGAAUUUAAAUUAAAUCCAAGAAAGUCUGGCUGAAUGUAUAAUAAUGAUGUAAAAAUAAAUAGAGAGAAGAUGUGCAAAGAUAAUUUGAAGAGGUGUGAGAGUGACGUAGAAGUGAAAGAAGAUGUAAAUUGGGGUUUUGAAAUUGAGGUAAUUUUGACACGUGCCGACAGAAUCCCGUAUUGGUUUGGAGGGGUGGAGAGGUGUCAGUCUGUUUUUUGCAUCACUAGGGUAUAGAGAGAGAGAGAGUGAGUGACCUUUGCAUGGGACUAAAGACAUAGUUUUAGGAAAAUGUAAUAAUUUUUCACAAUUUUUUAUAAUCACUGAUAGUUUAUAAUUUAUCUAUUUUAAAUAUAUAAAUUAAUAAAAUAAUGACACAUAAUUUAUUGUUAAAAAUUUAUUAAAAAAAUUGUUAAAAUAUCAUUAUGGUAAGGUUUAAUCUCGUUAAUUUGGGUUUUGUAAAAGCGUUAAAGAAAGAAGUCCUACAGAAGUAGGAGGAGAAGGAGGUGGAUGCGAUUUAGUGUACUUUGGGUGGGACAUGAAGUAACAAUAUCUACUAAAAGCAGGGAAAUGUAAACUAUUAAAUUAAAGGCUUUACCCUAACCGUCCCUCUGAAAAGACCACCCAACAAAACAUUAAACAAAAUCCUUGUCGAAAAAUAGCAACAACAAAAAAGCUUCCAUCUUCAAAUUAAUAUGUGGGGGCACCAUAAUUCUUUUCAUACAUCUACACCUAUAAAUAUUAAUACCUACACACCACUUAUUUCCAAAUAUUUCUACUACGCAAAAGUAAAAUUGUUGCUCCUUCGUGCCUCCGUUUCUUCUUGUCUUUGCACGUGCACGUUGACACGCUCAAACCGAGCAAUUAAGAGACACGGUUAUUCAAUGGCUUUGACCAUUUUGGCCAUGAGCCGUACUAUAUUGAAUUUCAUAGCAACAUCAGAAUUUUCUUAUUAUCUUUUUGACCUUAGAAGACUCCGUAUGCUUUUAAAUGCUCUUAUUCUUUAAAUAAUCUUCAUCUACCACAACAAAUUCUGUUUUAAAUUCAGAACUCUUGUUAAAAAAAAAUUAUUCAAAUCAGGAUGGAAGAAGACUGCCACUAAGUCAAACUUUCCUCCACACCAUUCAUAACAAUCAAAUUUAAAAUAAUCCUCUGAAUUAACAAAAUCACAACUUUGGUUUAAUUAUUUUUCAUGAAAAGAGCAUCUAAACUAAUUUUUGUUUACUUUCCAAUUAGUUCAAUUUUAAACAAAUAUAUGUUUAAAAUACUAGUUGAUCUAAGUUUGUAAUGUAUAGAUAUUAAAAAGAGGUAAAAAAAAAGAAGUGGAAAUGUAAGUGUGCAUUAUUAAGUAAUAAUCUUGUUGGGAGUGGGACCAGUCCUGAGUUGUUGGGUUGCUUUGUAGUCCCAUCUCAGAUGUGAAAAUGCAUUCCUUGUGUCUGCAACGCUGCAUUACUUUUUACGACUUAGAAGGUGUCAACACACAUCCACUCUCACCAAUCACAUUCACCUUUUCAGUUUUUGAAACCACAAAUCAUUUUCUUUUUCUUUUUUAUUUUUUCAUAAGCUUUCCCGUUAAUCAUAUCCCCAAUUAAGGACCCAAUCAUAAAAACGCCGCUAACCCACUCACUCCAUUCCACAAACCCGAAACGGGGCGUUUGGUUCCCUCAACAGUCACUCACUCACCCUGGUUAAAGUAACGCUAACCAUGGUUAACUGCACUCCUUUUAAAUCCCCUCACCCUCAAUGAAAGCGAGAGAGAAAAACAAACAGAGAUAUAGAAAGAAAAUUCACCAGAGAAACAUAGAACAAGGAAAUUAAGCCCAAAACUAGAGAGAGAAAAAACCUCCAAGAGAAAGAAAAUGGCGUUGUACCUCGACGAAGAAGAAGUUUGGAAGUGUCCCAAGCAUCCAUCCAAGCGAAGAAGAAGCGGAAUUUGUCCAACCUGUCUUCGCGACCGUCUCGCAACUCUGUGCCCUGAUUGUGCUAACGUGCGCCCUUGUUCCUGCUAUGCCACUAGCUCCUCCUCCUCUUCAUCCUCCUCUUCUUCCUUCUCUCGAUUGCCUGCCGGCUCUGCCAGUGUCGGCGGCGUCGGCCGCGUCCACAACCUCAUCGACCAGGAGCCAGGACUCCGCCGCUCGCGCUCCAUGGCGAUUCCGUUUCUCCGGUCGCGGUCCCGCUUCUCCGGUGGCGCCGACCGGGGUUUGGAUCUCGACAGCGCUAGGGACUCGCCGGCGUUGAACGGAAGCAGGUCGGCGAGGUCGUUCUGGUCAAUGUUCAAGACGCAGAAGAGCACGAGAGCCGGCGCGCCGGAGCAGGAGUGGGAGGCAAAGAAGAUUUUGGCGGAAGAACGCGACGGCGACGGGAGCGUAAAUCCGGUGAUGGUGCGGUCGAAGUCAGUGGCGGUUACUGCGGUUUCCGGCGACGGAGAAUUGAGACCGCGGACGAAGGGGAGAGGGUGGUUCUUUCCAAGCCCGAUGAAGGCUUUCCGGCAAUCGAAGGUUUCUAAAGUGGUUCAGGAACGGUCUCCUUUGUAUAGAGGUUGAAAUUUUGUAGAUUAAAAAAAUAAUAAUAACAAUAACAAAUACUUUAUAUAAGUUUAUAUUAACCAAAAUAUUAAAGUUUUAUUUUGUUUCAGUAUGGUCUUGAUUAUAUUCUUCAUCAUCGUGAUUGUAGUGCGAUAUAUAUAUGUUUAUGAUUCGGCUGGGAAUGUUGAAUUUGCAAUUAGCAAUACAAAUACAAUGGCAGAAUGUGUAUUAUUAUUGAUAUCAUUAUCAUUGUUGUUUAGCUUCUAAUCUAUCUGCUUAUGUAAUAUCAUUUGUGAUUUCUGAAAUUCAGUGGAUGUUCGUAGGAGAUUAUGCAAAGCUCUUUUUAGAAAAUUUGGCUAUUUUUUUAUGUUUACUAUUAUUUGGGUUAGUGCAUUAUUAUAAUGUGAUAAGAUUUAUGAAAUGAUAUGAUAUGUGUAUUAUAUGAUAGCACCAACUCUUGGGAGGGCGUGAUUAGGGUGUGUUGUACGAUCUGGUUGUGAAGCGUUAACUGCCUUACGAUUCAUGCAAAUGAUCGAUUUUUGAUAUGUUUGGUCCCACGUAACAUGUGGUUCCAAGCUGAUUAAUCAAUCAUACAGUGGUUUAGGCUUAGAGUUUUUUCUUUUCAUGCCUAUCUAUCUAUCUCUUCACCUUGUUUUUUAGUUUUUGGGUUUGUGUUAUAGGGAGUUUUAGCCUUAAUGUGCUUCAGUACGGUCUGUCCCUCCUCUUUUUCCUCCUUUCUUCUUCCUUUUCUUUUAUUUCGUACAUCUCAUUAACAUUUAUCAUGCUUCUAAUGGUAAAAGUUUUGACUUUCCACUGCAUAAUAAUCACUCCCUCUGUUUUAUUUUAUCAUUGAAUCAGCCCAUCACACCCAAGGAUUGGUACAUAAUGCUUUUGAUGUCUGUGAACGUUGAGAAUGUAAGGUACUUUAAUACCAUUGUUUGGUUCUGAACUUUUUUUUAUGAUCGUUGUUUAUUACAACAAUAGGAGACAAUGUUGACUCUUUCUAUGCUGUCCUUUGGCACUGUCAGCAGUAUCAAGUGAGCUAAGUUUUUUUCAAGGAUUCUGCAGAAAAAGGGUACAACAAACGAUAAACGAUUCUUGGUCAUAUAUUAAAUCCAGUGGGUGCUUGAAUUGUUUAGAAAUUUUGAAUUAGUUUUCUAAACUAAAAACGCUUGCUCGUAGAAAUUUUGAAUUGGUAAAACUAAUUGUAAUUAACUUUCUUAAAUGGAUGAAUACCGUUACGUCUUUCAAAGUUUAACUAUUUAGUUUCUACAAACAUUAAAACUGUUUCCAAAGUUUUGUAUCAAAACUUUUGUUUCUUACGUUAAGGUUAAGUGGUAUCUCAUCUUUUACGAUUUCUUUUAUAUAACAGCUUACAAGAUUCAAACGAGAGAGAAGGUUAACUGGUAUCUCAUCUUUUAAGCGAGAAGGUGCACUACGCUACAUAAAGAUACAACAAAAAAAUGAUACCAAAAUACAAUGAAAACUCAUUUUAAUCGAUUCAAAUGAGAGAUAAUACAUCAAAUAUUACUUUAAUCGAAGUAAAAACAAUUUUGAAUAGUUAAAAGGAGAGGAAACUUACUUGGAAAUGCAGAGCAGCGAGGAGAAAACGCAAGACGAUGAAACUGUUGGUUCGCAAACCACUGGUUCGUAGUGUUAUUUAACAAGAAAUUAGACGUCUGUUGUACAUAGAACCGACGUCUAAAAUAGAAAAUACGUUGGACGCCAGACUAAUAUGACAUCCAUUCGAUCUAAAAAUUAAUAUUUUUGUACUAUAUAAACGUCGGCUUUGAGGCAUGAGACUUUCGUGGGUGGAAACGGAUGACUUUUCAUAUACCUAAUAGGAUUAUAGACGUCGGUUCCUAAGGCAACUGACGUUUAUAUGUCUGACAGGUUGGUGAGUAGCAUUAAUGUCUGCCAUGUAGGCGUUGGAGCCCGUCAAUGUGGUGGGAUCCGACGUUUAUAAAGCUGAAAAGAGUGACUAUUCAUCUGUCUGACAGAAUUAUAGGCAUCAGUUAGCAGCAACUCGACGUCUAUAUGUCUGACAGGUUGGUGAGCAACAUUAAUUUCUGCCAUUUAGACAUUAGGGCCCCUAUCUAACCGAUGUCUAUAAGACUGAAGGAAAUGACUUUUCACCUAACGGUCAGAAAUAUAGACGUCAGGUUGGAAGGGGCGACAUCUAAAAUUCUAUAGAUGUCGGUGGUCGGCAUAACAGACGCCUAUAUUACCAACUUAUUUAUGGAAAUACCACCGGUCAUCAAUAUACGUAGGACUUACCUAUAACCGACGUCUAUAGGGUGACAUUAAUGAGCAUUUUUGCACUGGUGUCUUUCUCAUCUUCCUUCCUUCUUUCCUUUUUAACUUCUUUUCAUUCCUUCUUUUUCUUAAUUUUUUUUUUAAUUUAUUUUUUCUUUUUAUGAUCCUUUUUCAUUAUUCUCUUAAUUUAGGUGUUUGCAUAGAAUACCACGUGAAUCUAACAUAUCAUAUUUCUUAAAAUGUUAAUGUUUGUAUAGAGACAAGACCAAAGGUGUUAUUUCAAGAAAUUAAAAGGAUAUGUAGCCACUUUUUUUUUAAAAAAUUUGACAAUUUCCUAUUCUUUUAGAAGUUGCCGUCCACCAUAAAUUAUUUUUGCCAAAGUAAUUACAUAGAUUAAAAAUGUCUGAAGAGUUCAAUGACAAUUUUUUUAAAAGAUUUGAUUAAUAGUUUUAACCACGGAGAACUAAGGACCUAUGAUUAAUUUAAUCGUCAUUUUACCGUACUUAACUCAAAAUAACUAUAGAAAACUUGUGAAUGUUAGUUUAGAAUUAUGCCUAAACUGAUGUAAUGCCGGUUAUUUAACUGAAGUUAACUAGAAUAACUGUAUUUGAAAAAGAAAAAGAAAAAAACAUAAUCAUGAACCGAUUAUAAAAAUUAUUUUCUCAAAUUAGGCUAGAGUUUUUAUGAAGCGUGAUGGAAACUACAAUCGGAUUUCUUUUAGUUUUUGGUAAGCCAGUACAGUACUAACCCUAUACAUACAAUGUACUUUCUGCAGACAAAUAAAUAUCAUGGAAAAUUUGUAUGACACUAUUGGAAUUAUUAUUAUUUUUUAGUUUAUACUCCUAUCACUUAAAAAAAGUAUUAAAAAAUCAUAUCUGGUCAAUCUAAACAAUUACCAAGAAUUUUCUUAUUUCGUCCUUUUGUUUUAGAAAGUAAAUUACUAAUAAAUUGGUCACUAUUUUUAUAUAGCAGCAUCUUUGCUCGUUUUGCGUGUUUUUAUUAAGUUCUUUUUUUAAUUAAAAAUGGGACAGUAAAUAAAGCCCCAAAUACUCAAAAUAAUUAAAUGUAAAAAAAAAAUAGAUUAGUUAGAUAUGAGAGAUAAAACGAAUGAAUAAAAAUGGAACUUCAGGAAUAAAAUAAAGAGUUAAAAACUAAUAUAGUGCCUCUAAGUAAUUAAACAGAGACAGAUUAUAUAAGAAUUUGUUUAAAACAAGGGAGCCGAUAGAAUGUCUGUAAUCCAUAGAAAGAGAGAAAAAGGUUUUUAAUUUUGUAGUGUCAGCAAUGUUUUUUCUUUGGUUUGGUUUUUCAAUGUGGUAGAAUGGUUCUAAUACUAGCUUUGGAUCAUGUUUCAGCAACGACCCACCACUGAAUAUUGUAUUUUUAGCCAUAAAUGCAUAUACGAUACGUACGUUGGAAGUCUCACAUCAACAUCGACUAUAGAUAUGAUCAAUUUAUAAUAUAUAAGUGAGAUCAAAUCUCAUUUUAUAAAUUAGUUUUAUGAAGUUGAAUUAGGUUUAAAGUUCACUCCUAACGUUAAAUCAGAGUCAGAGCAAUAAUGGUUAUUUGUUGGAUUCGUUGAUUCCUCUCAUACAUGUCCAAAUGAAAUGUCCUUCAACUACUUGGAAUUGAUAUUGAUGAGAGUGAUUUUUGUUUUGAAAAUUACAUGCAAAGUUUGUAUAAAAGUAGGAAUAGAACAUGGAAAGAUCCAGUCACAGCAAUAUACGACAUUCUAUAAAGAUUCCUUGAGGAAAACAAGCACUUUGAUAUGCAUGUUGUGCUCAUCUCUAUACUCUAAAGGAAAAACUUUGAAAUAAAUAAAUGUCUAGAGUCACUUAUUUUACCUUUUAUCACGUGGAUUUCAAAAUUGCAAAUCUUUAAGUGGAUUUCCAUCCCUUGGAGUAACACAAGCUGCCACAAUAUUUUAUGCAAUUAUUUGGAAACUGUGCACAUGAAUUCGAUCAUCAACACGGUUUUCAGAUACUUUUUUCUUUUCCUUCACUCACAUUUCUACCGCUUUUAUUUUUCAAUUACUACUUUUAAUUCAUUUUACUAGUGCUGGAGAUUCCUCUCACACUAGUUAUGUCAGAUGUUGUACAUUCGUUUAACAAUGAAUAACGAUUUGAUAAUUUUUUAUAAUAUUUUAAUAUUAUCUAUGUGUCAUUUUAUAAUUGAUUUAUGUUAGCAUUUAUGAUUAUUAUUGAUUGUAAAGUAAUUUUAGAUCAAUCAUAUAAUUACAUAUAAAAAAUAUUAGUUAAAGUAUUAUUAUCCUUUCUUAUAAUCAAAAUUUAAUAUCUUUUAAAUUAAAUAAUUUUAAAUGAAAAAGGCAUUAAGUUUGGUUUUUAUUAGAAUUAAAGUUUAAUAUACUCUUCUCACACUUCAAUUUUGAUAACAUAUCAUAAAUCUAUUCUAAGUGUUUUUUUUAAAUAACAUUUUUGUUUCUAUUUUCUGUUUACAUAUCAAACUUGGAAAAAAUCAAAAUCAGCCAAAAAUAACAAUAUAAAAUCAGAUACAAUCUACACAUUAUAAAUAAUACUCAAAAUCAGAUAUAGUAAAGUUUUAAAUCACAAAUAAAUAUACAUUUACUAAAUAAUCAAAAUCAGAAGUAGAAUAUUAUUAUACAUUUGUAUUAUAUAUUUUCUACAAACUAUUUUUUAAUAAAAAUUAAUAGGUUUUUGCUUUUUAAGAACUAGAAUCUAUAAAUUUGUAAAAAAAAUUUAAAAUUGUUAUUGUGUUUUGAUAUAUUUUGUUUAGUUUACAACCAAAGCAUAUAAAGUCAUUUCAAAAGCAUAAAAUGCAUUAGUGUUUGAUUAUUUUAUUUAUGUUUCGAUAAAAUCAAUUAUUGUACAUUUAUUUUUUUUUCUCCUAACAUUUGGACAUAGAAAAAUUGUGUCCUUAAAUUGAUUAUAAUGAAAGUCCUAUAACAAUUACAAAUAAAAUUAAUUUAUAAACUUUAUUUUACAAAUCAAUUUUAUAAAACUGAGUUAAACUUAAAUUUUAUUUUUUUAUUAUAUUAUUUUUUGAAGGUGUUAUUGAUUAAUCUACUAUGGAGCAUAUAAACAUUUAUAGGUGCAGCAUUACUUUGGCCUAGGUGGUAGAAAAACAUUUAGUGCCAAUGGAUAUUUUAAGCUUAUGAACACAAUUUACUACAAACUAAUAAUUUAUGUAGCUUAAUCUGAUAAGAAUAUUGACAUGAUUUUCAACUCAUUAACAUUUUAAAAGUGUUAGAAGAUGGUAGAGAGGUAGACGUUAAAGCCAUCAGGAUUAGGAUCUCUUGAAGUAAGUAAUUCUGACACUAUAAAGUUAGAUUUUGUCAGACAAUAUAUGAUAAUAUAUAUAUUCAUACAUCAAAUAAAAAAUUCCUGUUUAAUUUUAUACUAUAUGAAAACUGUUGAUUCAAAAUAAUCACAUGCUACGAAUAAAUUAGAUUUUAUAUGAAAAGCCUUUAAAAAACCAGAACUAAUAUGAAAAAAAAAAUCAAACUGUCUUGUACCCUGUAAAAGUAAAAUGAAAAAGAAACGUUGGCCAGGAGGUAAAUACAUAUGAAUUAUUUGAGAGACCAGAGAUUUCGAAAAAAAAAAAACAGUGAUAUAUGAAAAAAUGUAAUGUAUUUGAAAAGCUGCGGUAUUUGAUUGGUAAGAUUAUGAGAGGAUACUGCUGCUGAAGAAAACAAAGACAGGAAAGCAACUCCAUGAAAGGGAAACUAAGCUUGAAUUCGUAAUCGUUUUCAGUUCAACAAGAGAAGCUUCCCGAUUAUUACUACUUAUUUUUUUCUGCAUUUCCAAACAAAUAAUUGAGCAAAGUGUCAAAGCCUGACCCUUCUUUUUCUUUGUUACAGAGAAUAAUCAAUAAGCAGAACUUGUUCAUUUUGUUCGAUGCUCUGACAAGCAAAAAAAUGUUACAUUUUCAUGUUAUAAAAUGUUAAAUGUUCUGUUUUCCAUCCUUAAUGAUAAGUACAGAAAAGAAAGAUAUAUAUAUAUAUAUAUAUAUAUAUUUAUUGGUAGAGGUGGAGUUUAAGCCUAACUCAACCUUUCAAUGUGGGACUUCCAACACACCUCCUCACAAACAACAUGUCCAACAACAACAGAAAUAGGAUAGACUUCAAUCAUAACUCGGAUACCAUGUUAGAAGUGGAGUUUAAGUCUAACUCAACCCUACAAAACUGGAUUGUUGAAUGAGGUUUGCACCCACUUAUAUACACUUAAAUGACUUUAUCUCUAGUCGAUGUGGGACUUCCAAUAUAUAUAUAUAUAUAUAUAAAUGUUUGAACUAGAUAUAAAUUGUUGAUAUCGAGUAAAAGAUAAACCUAAUUCAUAAUAUAUUUAUAUUAUAUAAAUAUAUAUGAGUGUAAAAAACUAAUGUUAAACUUAACUUAAAAUGUACAUUUUAACAUGAUAUUAAAAUUAUUGUUAAAAGCUAUUCUACGUUGUUGUUUAGAGGAGGUAGGGGGGCUAGGUAAGGAAAAAGUAGGCGUGGGAAGAGAAUCUUGGGUCUGACACGUGUGGAAUGAGUGUGUGGUUAGAAAUAGAUGUAUAAACGAAAAUGUUGGAGGGAGAAUACGAUAGGUCAUGCCCCAAUCUACCAAAUAGCUUCAUCAAAAGGCGUAUACAUGUUGCCCUUCUGCACCAAAAGCCUGAAUCAAUCAACAUGUAUCCAGGGUCAUCUUUCACUUAUUGUAAGAUCAAAUUUUCAUCUAAUUUAUAUAUAUUAUAUUCAGAAAUCUAACAUUGCUUAAAGUUAAUCUUAUUUUAUAUAUAAAUGAGUAAAAAACUUUUAUCCAUGUUAUGCAACAAACUUAAAAUAUGAUUAGAAAUUUAUGUUUGUAUCGUCAACGAGAUCUUUAAAUACUUCUUCCUUCACUAUCUCAACGAGGAAGUUUAGGUUAUAAUUCAAUUUACAAAAUUGUUUUUUAAAAACGAAAUUCACGUUGUUUUUAAUAUUUUCUUUCAUAAAUUUAUGAAGUACUGAAACAUGUUACGUAACCUGCUAUAUAAAAUACACGACAUAUUAUUCUUGUAUUUUUUUAUCUGUGAGAAUCAUAAACUUCUAUGUCAAGGAGUUUUAUAAGAAGUUUACAGUGAUGGUUACCAUACUUUUUUUGUUCGACGAGAAACUCUAGGGUUUAUACUUACAUUUUCUUCUUUGUCUUUGUUACGUCAUUUCAUUCUAACAUUUUGGAGAUGAAAACUUAAAGCAGAGCGUGGUCUGAUAUUGAACUUUGUGUGAUUUUCCUUUGAUGAUGUUAAACUGUUGAAUCAAAGUUUCUUUGAAGAUUUAAUUUUUUUUUUUAUUUAUUUAUACACAAGCAAUAUGUGGUUUUAAAUUUUAGCCGUCAGGCUCGUUGAAUUCUUCAAUCAGAUUGUUCUUAGAUCUAGAAGGGUUUGAUAAUUAAGUUUUAAUUUUUAUGUCAAAUUAGCCUGGAUCACAGUUUCAUAUAAUUAAAAAUAUGUAGCAUGACCUUAACAAUUUCUUUCAUAGUAAUUAGUUACUAUUUGAUAACUAAUUUGCUGUGUCCACCAAAUUAUCAGAAGAACUCUUAAAUUUUUUUUCGUAAUAUUCUCUAACAUGACGUGCAUUAUUUCACUUUGAUAUUAUUAUAUGCUUUGAUGAAAUUUGAGUAAAUAAUUCAGUGAAAUUAUUUUUUGGAGAUUCAAUAUCACAACUUUAAUUGGAAAUUGAAUAAGAAUUGCACUAGAAUUGUGUAUUAAAUGCUAACCAAGCAAAAAAUGGGUAUAUAUUUGUUGGGUUUGAAUUGAAUUUUUGGUUUUGAAGCUUAUACAACAGGCCACACCACAUGGCGUGGAAAAGGCAAACUAUUAGGAUGUGUCUUUCAUUUUAAGGGAAAGGAAGAAAAAUGUCUUAUUUCAUAGUCAAUUACCGUCAGUCUUUCUGUCGGCCAGUUUCUAUAUUCAUACGUCCAAGUCUGAAAUUCUUCACAUUAUUUUUACACAUGGAUUCAAAUCACUUCUUUCAUUAAACUUGUUUUUCAUUUUCUAACUAAAAACCAAAAAAUUAUUGAAGAGAGGAUAAUUGUUAGUUUUUAUGAGAUGCUAUUUUUUAAUUUAAGAGACAGCAAAUAGACAGAGAUGAUUCGAGUCACAUACGCAUACCUCUUCUGUCUAUGCUCUUAGCUAUUUUUAAGAUAAAGUUGUUCUGGUGGGCGUUGACAUACAAUGUAUAUGCAUACAGCUGUUCAAGUUAAGGAAUAAUUAAUCAAUCCAAUGCCCAUAAAAACGAAAAAAAAAAAAACUUCAUCAAUCUUCUUGGUUCUGUUCUGGGGCAAUUAUUUUGUUUUCUUUUUAAGGUAAGUAGUGGAUCCCAUGUACCCUGACCAGAUUGUAUUCAUCAUACUUUUGGAAUGCGAAGCACUCAUGAUUUAAUUUACAAUUUAUUUUUUUCUCUUUGGGAUAAUUGUCCAAGUUACCUUCACCCAACACCCCUACCCACAAGUUUUUCUCCUGUAAGGAAGACCAUAAAAUAUCUAGGACAAAGCAAAAUCGUAACCAUAAUGUUUUUGGUCGUACCAACACUCAUGCAUGUUUUCAAAAUCCAAAACCAGAAGUAUCAGUACAACACAAACUUAAUGUUUUGUUUAGACGAGAGAAGUGUCUACAAGAUGCUAGCUAGGAAGAUCUUUAAUAAUAGGUUAAGCAAAAUCUAGCUACGUAAAUUAUUAGCUAUAGGCAGUGAAUGGAACACUAGAAGAUGAUAACUUUCAACCAUCAUUAUUAGAUGGUGACAUAUAUGAAGGGAUAUUUAAUACUGGGCCAAAGUGACAAAAAAACUAUGAUCAGGAUAGAUAUAAACUGAUUUAAGUGAAUAGAUGAGUUAACUUAUUCGUUCUGGUGUUGUUGGUAGUAUGCAACACUUUUAGAAGAGAGAGUGAGAGUGAAUGGUAAUUAUGGAGGGUAGAGAAGGAAGAUGCAGGAACAUAGGUAGAAGGCGUGAGGAAUAAGGUUGUGAUUUUAUGUUACCCCAAAUCCAAGUGUUUUGUCCCCACGCCGUCACUUGGGGCCACAUUAAGCCACAACAUCUCAUGUGCUUUCUUACCUAUCUUACUCCAACACGUGAAGCUGUCCACGCUGGACUGGGGAAUGCAUCUAUACCCUUAUGUUCUCAUAUUUUUUUUUAGGAUAUAAAUUUACAUUUAUAUAGGUUUAAAUUUUUUUUGUCCCUAGUUAAGUUCUGAUGUUUAGUUUAGUCUCUGCUUUUAAAAAUUUCAACCUUUAGUCCCUAUGAUAUAAAAAAUGUAUCAAAUCAGUCCUCAUGACAGCACUUAAUCAACAAUAAAUCACAAGUUUUCAUACUUAAGUAUCUAAUAUUUUGUGAUUUGUUAACAGAAGGUGUUAUGAACAACAAAUCACCUAAUAAAAAAUUUGUGAGUUAAUCAACAAGUCUACAUUAACUCAACUAUUUCUAGGAACCGAAGAUCUCUUUUUUCUUUCUAAAUCCUAAAUAUCUCGAUGUUUAUUUUUAUUUGAAUGCAAGAUUUUGGGUUAAGCUAUAUUACAUUAAAAUAACACGAUAAUUGUUAUAGUUAUGUCUAUGACUGAUUGGAUUCUGAAUUUUGUUUACAGAAUGGCAAGUACAUUCGCAAAGGGAGUGAUUAUGUUUGAGUUCUGGUCUAAGAAUUAAAUAUCGCAGUAAAAAAAACGUGAUAUUUAUGUUUUGUUCUCCAGAACUAUCAUACAAAAUGUCUUUAUUCGUUGAGGAGAAUAUGACAAGACUCUCACGUGAUGCUCCCCAUCCAGCUUAUCAGUUUUAUCAGUUUUCCCAGACGGCUAAGGAUUUUUUUAGGCGUAAGGCAAUAUUAAAAUUAGGAAUGGUAGGAUGACUCUUUUUCAUUUGACCCAUGCCUUUAUAAUCAUUUGAUUCGUGAAUAAAAUGAUUAUAAAAAAAUAAUUUUUUUAUUUACUUAAAAAAAAUAAUGUCAAACGGAUAUAAAAAUAUAAAAAGUUUAUGUGUGUUAAAAAAAAUCAUUUUUCUAUUAAAAGUAAUUUUUUUUCUCGUACUCAAAUAAUUUAUUUAAAUUUGUAUAGUUUUAUUUUUAUUUUUUAGGUUUUAAUUGUGAUGUAAAUUUGCGUCUAAAAUUGUUAGAAUUAAUUUUAUGUAACAUUUUUAAAAUACUUAGUUCAUGCCCUUCAAUCUUUAUUAUAUAUAAUUGCUCUUAAGUAACUUUUUAUUAAUCUUAUAUAAAAGAAUUCAUUUUAACUUAAAUAUUUAAUCUUAUUCUAUAAAUUGUAUUUAUAUUUUGAAAAUAAUCUGUAUUUUUAUUUUUAUAUAUAUAAUUGAGAAUGUCAAUUAAUUAAUUUAUCAUUUUUAAUUCCUGUCAUUUUUAUAAGAUAGAAAAUAAAUCUAAUAUAUCAGUAUUUAAGGAAUUGUCGGUUUUCAAGAUUUUUUAAUAUUUAGGCAUCUCUUUCAAAAUUAUAUUAUAUAAUAAAAAUUAAUCAAUAUGAAAUUUUGGAAGAGAUUUUAAAAUUUCAAAUUCAAUACUUUCAUCAAAUUUUGUGUUUUGUAUGAUUAAUAUGAGUUUUUUUAAGGAAGAUUAGGUUUUAAAUUCAUUUCAAACCCUAUUUUUUUGAGAAAAGUCAAUAAUUCAAACCCAAUUUUCCUAUACCUUUCAACAAAAAAUGAAAAAUAAAACUUCUUUUUGAUUGUUUAAUAUAGUCUAAUUAGAGAAGACAAUAGGCAGAUGUAUAUCACAUUAUAUUAUCAAAAUAAACAUUCAUCUUCAUCUUCAUAAUUAAUAAAAAUAAAAUUUUGAUCUCAUAUUCAUUUUAAUAGAAAAUUACUUUACUCAUACUCAUCAUUCUACUAUUCUAAAUAUAAUUAAAUAUUUUAAUAAACUAUAAAAAUCACAACUUAAAAACAUGAUAUUAUUAAAUAUUUAAUGUUAGAAAAACAACAUAUUUUAUUUUUUUAGAAAAUCAAAUGCCUAUAAUUAAAUAAAUAUUAAAUAAGAGUAACAAAUAAUAAUUUUCCAUACCUAAAUUAGAUAUUACUUGUACUCAAUCAUAUCAUUUUUAGUUAACAUAAAAAUGAACUCAAAUAACCAGAUGAGCAAAUUAAUUUCUGGUCCCCAAAUCUAAUUAAUGCACACAUCUACAUUAUUUAAUUGUAACUUUGAACUAAAAAGGCUAGUUGCAAAUAAUAUAUCGUACCAAAACAAUCACUUUAGACAAAUAUUCAAAUAUUAAUAUCCAGAUGUUUUGUCUUGCUCACCUUCAUGUUUCCUUUCAUAUUAACGACCCAUUAUCAUAUUCUUAUUAAUAUCAAGUUCAACAAGUUUUAAUAAUAACAUCAAGAAGACUUUUUUUUCACUUGUAUAAUUUCUUUCUUAAAUUCCAAAAAAAUAUCAUUAAACUUUACGCAGUUAAUGAAAUAUUUCUUAAAAAAACUGACAAAUUACUAUAAUUUUAGUCAUUAAAGUAUAGUGACCAAAUUAAUCGUGGAAACAAUUGGUGAAAAUCUCAGGCGAAUUUAGAGACAAAAAUUAGUUGCCAAUUUGAUGACGAGAUGAGUAACUACUUUAGUAAACAAAAUUACUGACAUAAAUAGUGAACAUUUGUUUUUAUUAAUUUAGUGAUGAAAUUAAGUCAUUCACUGUAUUAAUAAAGUUUAGUAAUUGAUUAUAGAUAAAAAUUAGUGAUCAAAUUUACGGCGGAAUAAGCAACCCGUUUUCUUGAAAAAUUAGUGACUAAAAUUAAUUAUUAUUUAAGUGAUGAUCAAAUUUAAUGACUGAGAUAUAAUCUAUUAUCUUCUCAGUUUUUACAUUCUUAUGUUACAUUGCAUGUUCUAUAUAAAAGUGGGUUGCAUUAUUGCAUACACAUAUUACUACUUAUGAUUGAAUACAAUAAAUUUGAAAAUUAUUAAUAAUAUAAAUAGAUAGCAGUUUAUUAUUUAAUAUUUAUUUGAAAGAUUAAUUAAAAAUGUAAUGCGAUAAAAAGAAUGUUAGUAUUUGAAAUUGAAAUCAUAAUAUAUAAAAUUAAUUAUUGAGUUUAUACAUAAAUAGUAUUGUAACUAGUGCAGCGAAGAGAAUAUACCGCGAUUAUUUUUCACUAUAUAUCGCGGUUUAUGAACCGCGGCAUAUUCAGCCGCGGUAGUAAGUUAGAGACUUUAGGCCGUGGUUACAAACGCGGUAAAAUGAUUGGGGAAUAUACCGCGGUUGUAGUAGGAACCGCGACCUAAACCCCUUUUUUUAAAAAAAAUAUAUAUAUCCACAGUAUAGGUCGCGGUUGGACCGCGGUAAAAAACCCAGGAAUAGACCUGGCACUAACCGCGACCAUAGGUCUUUAAAAAAAAAAACGAACACGUUAUACGGCGGUUGUGGUAACAACCGUAGCAUAUUCCCCUGCAGUUUUUUUAAAAUAGCAGGUCUGUUUUUGUGAUAUCCACUACCACAAAAACAGACCUGCAUAUCAAAUACACGUUCAAAUUCAUUUUCAACAGAACAAACACAUGUUAAAAUGUAUUUUAACAUCAAAUAAAGUACAAAGUCUAAUAAAAUACAAUCAAAUCAAAUGCAAUGUUUAAAUCUAGUAACUAAGAUCUAUUGUAUAAUCUAACUAUAUAUUUUGCAGCAGCGUUCCUCAUGAAUAAUAGUGGCUUCUCAGGAACUGGUGUAGUAGUCUUGAAUUUCUGCACAAGACAAUUCAUAUUAAUUAGUGUAUAUGAAUUCUAAAUUUGGGAAAAAAUCAAAAUUUGUUAAAGUUAAAUAUUGCCGUUUUCCAGCCUCUUGUGAUGUGAGAACGAACAAUUUGGGUCAUCCAAUACAUUACAUAGUAUUCGCACUCAUAUGACCCAUUUUGUCUGUUACACUACAAUAUAUCAUCACAGUUGUAAAUAGUUAGUGAAUAACAUUAAAAUAAAACAACUAUAAGAAAGUAUGGCUUUAGAAUAUGUCAAACCUUGAGAGAAAUCCAAGCAAUCUUUCUACUGUUAACAAUUGAUCUCCCAACCAUCAUCAUACUUGCUGGAAUAGAACUAUAUAUAAAAAAAGGUUUUAGCAUUCAUUUAUAUAACAAANAAAGUCCAAACAUUGANGUUCUUACCAAUCAAUUGCUUGUCUGAGAUGUGUGGGAGGAGGCCUGUGCAAUGAGCAGAACCACAAAGCAUANUUCUCUUGCAUAGACAUAACAAGAAGCUGCCAAUGACGCCUGAAAUUCAUAAUAACUUAACUAUUAUAUAUUAAAAUCACAUAUGGAACUUUAUUUUGUUAACAAAGUUCUCUUACCCGGAUAUAUAAGGCAAAAAGUAUAUUUUCUUGCCGCGGCCAAAACUUCUUAUCAUAUUUGUGUUGAUCUGAUCAAAAUCAUUUGAUUCAUGAAUUGAUUGGGGAUCAAUGAAUCCAUAAUCAUCAGAAUGCCCCAACUUGUUACUGACUCCAGACAUAUACCUGAUAUCAAAAAUUAACUUUGAUAUAAGUAUACUUGAUAUAUAAAUCAAUUUUAUAUAUAAAUAAUUGUUCAUAGACUUACAUCAUUCAUAGCUGAAUAAUUGAAAUAUUCAACUCUUGUGUUCCCGACGCAAGCUCACUGACAUCUUGGCUAUGAAGGUAUAUUGGGACCUCAGAGCCUGCCCAAAUACAUUAGCAUCAUACUCAACCUCCAAAGGCUUAUCUUCAAGGAUGUCAGCAAGUAGAUGCAAUGAAGCAAGAGGAUCAUCCUCAGAUAGAGGAAUCUUCUCCUGUGCUUGCAUCUGUUGUUACAUGAAAAAAUAAGAUAAGUUUUGACAUCAAUAACCUUUAAAAUUGAGAAGUGUAAAGAAGAAUUUCAUACCGAGGGGUCAGAAACUGAACCAACCAAAUGUUUAGGCCAAGCGAUAAAGGACUUCAAUGCUUGUUCCACAAUGAAAAUCUCUUCUGUGCCCAGAGGAACUGAGGCAUCUGGUAUGAUCAUUUCGUCCACUAAGACCUUCACCUCAUCCUCUAAUAGUUGCAUACCAUGAACAACAGUCGCUGACCUAAACAGUGUUCCACAAGCUACCAGGACCGUCUCGGUAUCGUCUAAAAUGUAUAGCAGACAUGGACUAGCAUCGUCCAAGUCAUCCCCUGGGACGGCUGGUGCGGAACAACUUCCUUUCCCGCUUCUCCCUGUCAAAGUAAAUGUUAGAUUAUACAAAAGAUAGAAAUAAUUGCACAUAAAUGUUUAUUAAGUUUACCUGUGGGAGGCACAACAUGUUCCUGUUCCUGUACAGGAAAUGGCAUCGGGUGCAUGCCAUAGGUCUCCAACCACUGCUGGAACAUGAAGCUGAACUCACUAUACAAUUCAGCCCUGAGCUGCUCAGAGAACCGCGGCCUAUUCCCCUGUUAUUUAAUUUUUUUGCAUACGUGGCGUUAAAGAUGAUGGUUGACUGGGGUAUAUGUCGCGGUUAAGAGGAGAACCGCGGCAUAUAAGUUUGAUUUAUUUACAAAACUGCCAUCGCGCACCAUUAUGUUGCGGUUUCUGGUGAACCGUGGCAUAAUGUGCGCUGUAUAAACCAAAUUUUUUACUACUAUAUAUGCUAUUUUUAAAAUUCUUAUCUCUAGUGUAUACUUAAGUUAAUUUUUACUUGUAAUUUUUUUUUUGUCUAUUUCAUUCUCCUAAAAGUAAUUAUGAAGAAAGUUUCCAUAAAUAGGCUUUUAGUAUUGGGUUCUGUUUAUUGCAUUUCAUAUCCAGACGUUGCAUGUUGAAAUGCACUUGACCACCAGAUGCUUAGCGAUAUGGGGAACAUUUGAUCACUAGUUUCAUCACAGUAAUAUUUUAUUUUUUCCGUGAUUAGAAAAAGCUGAAGAUUUAAGUUAAGGUUGAGAAAGAAUGAAGUGAAAAUAAAGUAGAUGAUUAAUUGAUAUUACAUACGCAGGCAAGAGGCAAGAAAAUCAUGGUUGCUUUUUAAAGGGCACCAAUUAGAGUUGUCAAAACGGAUAAUUCGGGUCGAUUCAGUUCAGUCCACUAUGGGUUGGUCACUUAGUGAUCCAACCUAAUCUGGCUCAUUUAUUAUCGAGUUAGAAAAAUCUGAAUUCGGUCCGAUCCACUACGGGUUGAUAGGUAAACGAGUUGACUCACUAACUCAUUUAAUCACAAUUUUUUUAAAUAAAAAAAAUUACAAACUUUCUAUAAUUUAAUUUUAAACAAAUUUCACUCCCAAAUUUUACUCCCAUAAUUUUUAAUUCAUUUUGAAAAUAAGAAACUUAAAUAAUUUUUUCAAACAAAAAUUAAUAAUAAAUAUCUUUUUAUAAAUUUAAAAUUAAAUUUUAAUAAAAUAAAAUUAGGUAAGUGGAUUGACGAACAAACCCGACCCACUGUGGAUUCAACCUUUGAAAUCUGACCUGCAUGAAAAAAAAAAAAUACAAUUUUUUUUAAAUCCAACCUGAUUCAAACCUGUAGUGGACUAGAUUGAUUAACAAGUUAUAACCCAUUUUGAGAGUGCUGGUACCAAUGUUAAGACCAAGAACAACCCCAACCCCGAUGAUACGGCAAACUGAUCCGCAGGCCAAGGUGUCAGCAAGGGUAAACCCAGCAGGGCCACCAGUCUCCCUCGCCUCCAGCUUUAGGCCUUCAGGAGCUAAUCCAAACCUUCCAGCAAACAGCAUCUGUGGCUUCUUAUGCAAUCCGCAAUCCACAAGAUUGUUUCAUGUAUAAACAAUAUCUUCUUAUCUACCUACCCACUAAAAAUUGAAUCUACCCAGAUGAAACAACAAAGGGACGAGGAGACUCAGAAAUUACUCAAACUCAUAUGAUGUUGCCAGAUUAGUGGAUGAACCAAAUGUUGUCACAUCUAGCUCCCCCUUGCGCCUCGUGGUUAGGACAUCGACCUGAACAAAAACAGACCCAGUUAUGACAGUCACGUAUCAGAUGCAAGUAAUCCAUGAGAAAUGGUCAAAGCAAAAAGAUCAUGUUCCAACUGGGUCUAAUAUAUAUAUAAUAAAUAGGCCAUGGUAAAUGUAUUAGAUAAAAAGAUGGUAAGUGCUGACCUAACUCUGCACAGGGGCAGCUGAGAAUUGGGUUUAAGACCACUGAAUUGGGAAAACGAAAAUAUAUGUUUGGUCUCUUCUCUCUAAACUCUCCUUUUUUUCUUUGAAAUGUUUUCCAGGUUGCUUUGGUUGCACAAUCUGAUAGAAGUUUCAGUGAAACAGUAUCUAAUGACUGUUUUAUAAAUAAUAAUUAUAUUUAAAAAAUUAAAAUGUACUUUAUUCAAAUAUAUGCAUGUAUUAUAAUUUAAACAUUAUAUUAUUAUAUUUAAAAUUAAAAUUACAUUUUAUAAGAAUAAUGGUAGAAUAUAUAAUAUAAAAAGUAUAAAAAAAAACAAACAAAAUGACCAAAUAAUUUAUUUAAAAAAUUUUAAAAUUAAUUAAAAUUUCAUAUAUUUGAAAUUUAUCAUCAAAAUUUAAACUACUUCACAUGUGAAAUAUUAUUUCAACAUGUAUUUCUGUGAAUUUUAUUCACGAAGUUCUUUCAUAUAUAAUUUUGUGAAAUACUAAUAGUUUUCACUUAGUUGUGUUAUAAAAAUGAUUUAACUUAUAAAUUUACCCAGACUACAUUUUAAUAAUAAAAAAGAGGUAGAUGUAUCUAAAAGGUCAUGUGUAAAUCCUAGAUUGUAUCAAAAAAUCUUAGUAGGAAGUACUAAAAUAAAAUUAUUGUGGCAGUGGCAUAGGUGCAUUAUUUUGUUGAGUUUGGUAUGUUGUUGUGUGCGUGAAGGGUGGCAGUUUCCAAAAUCAGUUGCGGUCCUUAACUUUUUUGUACCAAGAAAAGCACAAAAAAUUUCCUACCAUUAACGGUAACAUGAAAGAGAUGAGAUGGAAGGUCUUGGACUCAAUAAUUCCUGUGCCAUGCCAUCAAAUCAGACAAGAAGCAGUGAAUCGAAGGAGACAGAGAGAGAGAAGAGUGGCAGAGUUAUCCACAUGCCAAUCCUUUUCUCUCAACCUUUUCUGUACGCGUGCUAACCUAGAUCACCACACACAACACUAAGUUUCUCCAAAUAAACAUACAAUGUUUUUGUACUUCCAUAAUAUAUAUAGGAUGACAUUACUAUUCAUUUUUCGGCACAGAAACUCCAUCCAUGAAAAAUCAUUUUCCGCUCUCCAUUAUGUCACACCUCUUUACCUAGCUCUGCAUGCCACCCACCACAUGCAAUGUUUAAUCCACCCAAGUUCGUUGCACUUUACUCAUUUUUAUUCUAGUUUUGCCAAUAUUGCAUCGCGCUGGACUCCCCUUCUCAAUCAAACUUUAUCCCUUUCCUCUUUUCCUUUUUACUUACAAAAUCCUCAUUAUUUUUAAUAUUAGAAUCAAAAUAUUUUGAAAAAGCUGUGCCUUUGAUUAACUCUAGUUAGGUAUAGUCUUCUUCCAAUCCAAUCCAAACUCUGCUAACUUUAUAUGGGCCAAUAUCCUUUGCGGCCCAGGCCCACACAAAACGGAAAUGGACCUGAAAUAGAGUUAAAAGAUUAAAGAAUAAGAAACAGAUGAAGAGAGAGGAGGAAGCUAAUGUGUGGUGAUGGAGAGAGAGAGCGAAAAGGCGAAACUCAAAACCCAUUUGAUAUUCGCGUAUGGCACGUUGAAGCGAGGAUUCCCCAACCACUAUCUGAUGGAGGAGCUGAUGAACCAAGACGACGCCGUUUUCGUUGGAGUCUACUUGACUGAGGAUCAUUACCCGCUGGUCUGUGGCCCUCACGGCAUACCUUACCUGAUCAACCUCCCCGGGUUGGGGCACAGGGUGAAGGGCGAGAUUUAUGCUGUGUCGGAGGGCGCGGUGGCUAAGUUGGAUGAGUUCGAAGGCGUGAGUUCCGGGUGCUACGAGCGGUUACCGUUGACGGUGGUUGCGCCGGUGGAGGAGGGUGGGGGAAGGGUGGAGGCGGAGGCGUAUUGGGGACACAGGAGGUUCGGGGAGGUGCUGUGGAAGACGAAGGGGGAGGUGGGGUUGAAGGAGUAUGGGGAGAAAGAAGCGAAGGAGUACGUGAGGAAGGAGAACAGACUGGGUGGCAGAAACAGUAUUCUUGACCUUGUUCCUUAAUUUCUGUGUUUGUUUGUUGUUGGGUCAUCAAAGAAUCUGGGACCAUUUAUUGUUUUUAUAGUGAUUGGUGUUAUUUAUCAGUUAUAUAAAUUAUGUACACCUUGUUUGUCCAUUUCUUAAAGAUGAAGCAUUAUCAUACAUGCACUCCACAACACAUAAUAUUGAAGGAGAGUUGAUGGAAUUAUUUAUAUCAUGCAUGCUCAAGCCCAACAAGGUUUUAUCUGGGGCUGGGAUUUCUCUGCAGAAUGUGACACAAGUUACUGAAUUUAAUUAAAACGAUAGACGGAUGAAAAGGGUGAAUUAUAAGAUGGUACAAAACUGCAAUUAGUGUCUGUCUCAUGGAUGGAGAUUUGCACAACAUUAGAAUAUAAUUAAAUAGUAAAAAAAUUAAUUAGAUUCACUGAAAAUGUGUAUCCUCAUGCCAAUCCUAUCUUAUUAAUUAUUGAAUGUGAUUAAAGACUUUCGAAAUUAUCAAUUCAAUUAUAAAAAUAAUUUUAUUAUUUAAUAAAACUGUGAGAACCAAAAAGGGAUCUAAUUCUUGUUUUCACUCACUUUUUCUGAAUACACUCAUCGACUCUUAUUCUGAAUAUUUUUUUUUUUUUCAGAAACUUUGAUGGGAGACAGGAAUUAAACACACAAAGACAAAACAAGGGACACACGUGAAAACUUUACCGAAUGUAUUUUUUUAAUCUCUUCUCAGGUUGGGCUUACGCACAAAAUGGGCCUUGAAGAUGCAAUGUUGGGAGCUUUCCCCCUGAACGUCUAAGGUUUUUCCCUGUACACAAACACAAUUACAUAAUCACUUGAAUUCUGAAAAACAUUUGGGGAAUGAAAUCAUACUCUUGCAAUGAAAAGAAAAGAAAAGAAAAUUGAAAAAAAUUUUGGACCGUGUCAUCCUUGCGCAGGACCAUAUAAUAAUAAUACGGAAUGAUUGAUUAAAAAAUUAUUUUAAUGGAUAAAAUUAAAUAAUUAUUAUUUUAUUUUCAAAGAUAAAUAUGAUAUAAAUAUUAUUAUUAUUAUCGGCUUAAAAAUUAAUGAAAUAGGAUAAAAGAACUAAGAGAAUAAAAAAAAACAAAGUAAUAAUUUCGUGAGGCUAGAAUCGAUUAUGUGCAAAAAAAAUAAUGAAUUUUUACACUUCUCGUUACAUUUCGUGGGAACCAGAAUCGUUAUUUUACAUUGCACAGUAAAUUCUUCCUUAUCUCUCCACCAAUACUAGGAUGUAAAUAGGAUACCGACCCGCAAGUCCAUUCUUUUUAAAUACCUUUAAAUUCAUUGAAACAAAUAACAUAUCCAUUCGCAAAUUCAUCCAUUUGCACACUACAUAAGUGAUACAAGCACACGCAAGAUAUUUACUAAGAUGUGUUGACUUUGAAGAUACAUAUAAGGAAGAGUGAGAUUUAUUUAAGUAAAUUUAGAUGAAUUUUAUUGAAUAAAUAUUAAUAUAAUAAUAAAAUAUAUAUUACAUUGAACCUAAAGAGUAAGGUAAACAUUAAAAGUCAAAACUUUCUAUUCUAAGCUUGAGUUUUACUAUUAAUUAUCAUAUGCUUUCUAAAGACUUCAUCUAAACUCACAUCAUUAAAAUGAUCAUUACAAAAGAAAAACAUAGCUAAGGACAAACAACACAAAAGUAAAGAUAAACUAAAAUACCCAAAGCUCAUACAUGCAUUUUUAAAACAAUAAUAAUAAACAUCCAUAGUAUAGCUCAAUCAACACAUAACAUAAUUCCCAUCAACCAUGAAAAAUCCAAACUAUCCGGAUAAAUGCAUUGAUAUUGGACUCAUGGGAACUUGCACUCGUAUAUAAAGGAGCAACUUGUUCAAAAUAAUAACAACAUCCUCAACGAUCGCCAUACACUAAAGUUAAUCUGUCAAAUAUCUAUGGUCCAAACGAGUGACUAUAAACUAGGACCUCCUACUACUCUCCAUAACAGAAUCAUCAAUCUCUACAUUAGAUGGGGUUAUUGAGAGUGUCAGGAUCAUUUCCCAAUCUCGAAGUCCCUACUUCAAUACAUAACACAACAUAACUAACUUAGGACAUUCUUCCUUGGAAUUCCUUUCUCACAUGAUACUUGAAAUUCACACCUCACAAAUAUUUGAUUAUCACAAUCACAUCUCAUACAUAAUCAUAUUCAUAACUUUAUUUUCAUUUCAUAUAAUAAUCCAAUUCACAAACCUUUCACAACAUUCCAUACAACAUUGCAUACUAUCACAAGAAACAUCUUAUUAUACAUUAAACAACCAGAAACACCAUUACAAAUCAUCAUAAGUCACAUAAUAACACAAUUUUUCUUUAUAGCAUCUUGAUACCCACAUUAGGUAAGGAAAACAGCUUGGAAAGCCUCACCAACAGCUCCGAAAGGAUCUAAAACCCCCAAAAAAACCUAAAGAACAUCCAAACCUAAUAUCCAGAACCCUGAAAACCCCCCAAAACUAAUGCACUAGCUUUAGCGCCCUGGCCACUGGAAACGAGUGCUCAACACCCUAUUUGGGCACUCAAGCGCUAUCAAAACACUCAAACCCCUUUUAGACCACCUUGUACACUUCUCCCACAACUUUGAAAGAUUCCUAGGUCAUUGUUGAAAGGCUUUUGGUCGCACAAAAGUCAACAAACCUAAAUUCCCCACUAAUGUAGUAUAGGGGCAACCUAGGGUCUAAUCCAAGGACUUGGUUCUUGUUAAGUUUUANAAANGUAGAAUUAUGCCUAAUUAUGUAUUUACUAAGACUAGGUGGGGAAAGAAAAUAUGAAACUAAAUCUAAAAAGAGAAAUUAAAAGAAUUAAAAUCUAAGUACAACUAAUGGAAAAGUAGAAAGAAAACAAUGCAUGAUAUCUAUUCUAUAUUACAGUAACUGAUGCAAUCAGGAUUAACAAGACUAAGCUAAUGCAAUUAAAAGAAUCUUAAAAACUAAAAAGAAACUAAAACAGAAUUCACAAUCUAAAAUUCAAGUAAUAUGAAGAAAAUCCUAAUUUGGUAAUUAACUAAGUGAAUGAAUGAUAAGAACUAAUAUGGGAAUGANNNNNNNNNNNNNNNNNNNNNNNNNNNNNNNNNNNNNNNNNNNNNNNNNNNNNNNNNNNNNNNNNNNNNNNNNNNNNNNNNNNNNNNNNNNNNNNNNNNNNNNNNNNNNNNNNNNNNNNNNNNNNNNNNNNNNNNNNNNNNNNNNNNNNNNNNNNNNNNNNNNNNNNNNNNNNNNNNNNNNNNNNNNNNNNNNNNNNNNNNNNNNNNNNNNNNNNNNNNNNNNNNNNNNNNNNNNNNNNNNNNNNNNNNNNNNNNNNNNNNNNNNNNNNNNNNNNNNNNNNNNNNNNNNNNNNNNNNNNNNNNNNNNNNNNNNNNNNNNNNNNNNNNNNNNNNNNNNNNNNNNNNNNNNNNNNNNNNNNNNNNNNNNNNNNNNNNNNNNNNNNNNNNNNNNNNNNNNNNNNNNNNNNNNNNNNNNNNNNNNNNNNNNNNNNNNNNNNNNNNNNNNNNNNNNNNNNNNNNNNNNNNNNNNNNNNNNNNNNNNNNNNNNNNNNNNNNNNNNNNNNNNNNNNNNNNNNNNNNNNNNNNNNNNNNNNNNNNNNNNNNNNNNNNNNNNNNNNNNNNNNNNNNNNNNNNNNNNNNNNNNNNNNNNNNNNNNNNNNNNNNNNNNNNNNNNNNNNNNNNNNNNNNNNNNNNNNNNNNNNNNNNNNNNNNNNNNNNNNNNNNNNNNNNNNNNNNNNNNNNNNNNNNNNNNNNNNNNNNNNNNNNNNNNNNNNNNNNNNNNNNNNNNNNNNNNNNNNNNNNNNNNNNNNNNNNNNNNNNNNNNNNNNNNNNNNNNNNNNNNNNNNNNNNNNNNNNNNNNNNNNNNNNNNNNNNNNNNNNNNNNNNNNNNNNNNNNNNNNNNNNNNNNNNNNNNNNNNNNNNNNNNNNNNNNNNNNNNNNNNNNNNNNNNNNNNNNNNNNNNNNNNNNNNNNNNNNNNNNNNNNNNNNNNNNNNNNNNNNNNNNNNNNNNNNNNNNNNNNNNNNNNNNNNNNNNNNNNNNNNNNNNNNNNNNNNNNNNNNNNNNNNNNNNNNNNNNNNNNNNNNNNNNNNNNNNNNNNNNNNNNNNNNNNNNNNNNNNNNNNNNNNNNNNNNNNNNNNNNNNNNNNNNNNNNNNNNNNNNNNNNNNNNNNNNNNNNNNNNNNNNNNNNNNNNNNNNNNNNNNNNNNNNNNNNNNNNNNNNNNNNNNNNNNNNNNNNNNNNNNNNNNNNNNNNNNNNNNNNNNNNNNNNNNNNNNNNNNNNNNNNNNNNNNNNNNNNNNNNNNNNNNNNNNNNNNNNNNNNNNNNNNNNNNNNNNNNNNNNNNNNNNNNNNNNNNNNNNNNNNNNNNNNNNNNNNNNNNNNNNNNNNNNNNNNNNNNNNNNNNNNNNNNNNNNNNNNNNNNNNNNNNNNNNNNNNNNNNNNNNNNNNNNNNNNNNNNNNNNNNNNNNNNNNNNNNNNNNNNNNNNNNNNNNNNNNNNNNNNNNNNNNNNNNNNNNNNNNNNNNNNNNNNNNNNNNNNNNNNNNNNNNNNNNNNNNNNNNNNNNNNNNNNNNNNNNNNNNNNNNNNNNNNNNNNNNNNNNNNNNNNNNNNNNNNNNNNNNNNNNNNNNNNNNNNNNNNNNNNNNNNNNNNNNNNNNNNNNNNNNNNNNNNNNNNNNNNNNNNNNNNNNNNNNNNNNNNNNNNNNNNNNNNNNNNNNNNNNNNNNNNNNNNNNNNNNNNNNNNNNNNNNNNNNNNNNNNNNNNNNNNNNNNNNNNNNNNNNNNNNNNNNNNNNNNNNNNNNNNNNNNNNNNNNNNNNNNNNNNNNNNNNNNNNNNNNNNNNNNNNNNNNNNNNNNNNNNNNNNNNNNNNNNNNNNNNNNNNNNNNNNNNNNNNNNNNNNNNNNNNNNNNNNNNNNNNNNNNNNNNNNNNNNNNNNNNNNNNNNNNNNNNNNNNNCCUCACAGGAAGUGUUUGCACUCAAUUUCACUCAUGUGUUUAGGGUUGUCCUGUUUCACUCCUUCAUGACAUGUCAACCUCUAUUCUUAACUUUGAAAGGACUCUAAAUGACCAUGCUCAGCUCUUUGGUUUCAUCUAGAUCAAAAGGACUUUAUUAGCUUGUAAUGUAAUGGUAUGAAUGGUUAGAAAAUACAAGGCUAUAUGGAAAUGAAGAAACUGUGAAGAAGAGGAGAACCUAAACUCAGUGCACUCUUUUUGAUAAUUCGGCCAGUCCAAUUUCUUUUCUUUCUCUCUGGUUUUCACAUACUGUCAGGUCUCAUUUUUCAUAAUUUUGCACUUUUGCUCUUUUUCCAGACCUGCUCUCUUUUUUUUCUUUCUUUUUUUUCUUUUCUCUCAACACAACCAGAUUGCUCUUCUUAUUUUUCUUUUCUUUUUCUUGGCCUUUUUUUUUUCUUUUGCACUCACUAAGUUCCUAGAUCCUCCAUCCCUCUCACAGCUUCUACACAUUGGGUAAUGAUGGGGAAUAAGGCUUGUACUGAAUGGAACAAAGAAAAUGGCUAAGGCUCAAAAGAAAAGGUGCAAUGGUAAGAAAAACUAAUGGUAAAGCUAAAUGGUUAUGGAUGGUUAGAAACAAUGCCUAAAUCAUGUCUAGAGUCCACUAAGAGCAAGCUUUUCACAAAGAAUCAAUGCAAAAUCAGAAUGAAAAUCAAACAUGCAUGAAAUCACACAAGAAAGACAAACAAAUAGGCCCAAAAUCUCUCCAGGUUAAUCAUUUUACUAAAACUGAGUUACUACCCUCUUAUAUGCAAAAAUGCCUAAUUAAACUGAACUCAGAUGAAAAAACCAAAGCUAGGAAUACCUCUAUUUUAAUAUAAAGCAAAGAAUUACAUUAGCAGUUCUAAUUAACAAAAAUCAAACUAAGAAAUGAAUAAAAUCAGUAAAGAAUUGAGAAAGGAAUGAAAUAGAACUCAAAAAGAACCUAGAAUUACCCAGCAGUACGACUUAAAACUAUUUACAACCUAGAAAAACUAAAACUGGACAGAAUAUGACUAAGAAAACCUAACUAAACUCGAUUAGCUAAAAUAGUUCCUAAACCAAAGUUGUACAAGACAAAACAGCAAAAAGAAAAAGAAGAAAAUCAAAGAAGCAACUAUGAACCUAGCUAGACUAAAACAUAUUUAUGUUCAAAAGAAAGAAAGCCUAAGACAAUCCUAAACAGUAACAAAGAAUGUAAAAGAACCUAGGGAGCUAUUUAUAAAAACCAAAACAGAACCUAAAGACUAAAACCUAUUGUGUAAAUCUAAAACAGGGAAGCAAAAUCAGAAAAAUAAAAGAAACUCACAGCUAGUUCUAUUUACAGAAACAAUUUCAAAGAAUCUAACCUAAACAAUCUAAAAAAAACUAUCUAAAACAGAUUAAAAAAUAAAGACUACAAAAUUCCUAAUAGAAACCUAAACAUGACCUAUAAAAGAACAAACUCUAAAGCAAAAGCAAAGAAAAAAAAUAAAGUCUAAUCCUUAAACAUGUUAUAACAGUAUCAAAACAAACUAGAACUAAUACUCUCUAUACUGAAACCAAAAAAAAAUAAAUAAAUAAAUUUACACCUAUUUUUACUAAAAAAUUCACAGCUAUAUCAGAGGAAAAACAGCAAUUAAAACUAUACCUUCUCACCCCCACACUUAAGAGGCACAUUGUCCUCAAUGUGUGAAUGAGAAAGGUUUCCUAAACAGCAUAGGUAUACACAGUUAUUUACAGCACAGGAAUAUGAAUGAAAUAGCACAAAAAUCAGAAUGAAAAUAGCACAAAAAUCAGAAUUGAGCAAAAGAUGUUUGAAACAAGACCCAGGAAUUGUUCAUAUACACAAUGUUUAUUAACAAAGAUGUAAGAGCUAAGAAAAAGAAAAGCUUAUUCUUAUUGGGUCCCCUAUGAGCUGCUUUCUCCUUUUAGGUUGACCAAGGGCUGUGCAGGUAUGCCUCUUGAUUUCAUGUUCACCAAUUCGUUCACUGCAUGAGCCAGCUGCCCAAUUUGCAUCUUCAAAUCAUUUAUUGUUGCCUCCAGAGUUGGGUCCAUUUUGGGUUGUAUUUGUUGUUGAAUCUGCCUAUACUGCUGGUUCUGCCCUCCAUAUGAUGCAUUCUGCCUAUUUUGUUGUGUAUACUGGUUCAUGUUCUGGAUCAACCCAUUUGGCUGUUGUCCACUCUGUUGAUUAUAUGGAGGAGGCUCAUAUCUUGGAUUCAUCAUAUUUCUCCACCCCUGAUGUUGUGAGCUAGAAGCAUGGUUGUAAUGUUGUGGCUGAUUGUGGGUCUGCCAUGGCUGAUUAUUCUGUCUAAAGUUGCCUUGUUGGUUCUGGAAUGCAGCUGCCACUGAUUCAGCUCCAGUGGUGUCUUGAAGUUGAGAACAUUGGUCACUGAAGUGUUGGUCUGAUGCACACAGCCCACAGUAUCUCCUAACUGCAUUUACCUGGCCGCCAAGAGCCAUUUGCCUCAUUAAUUCAAUCAGCUCCAGUAUCUUAUUCCCCAGCAGCAUGUUGUUUUCAUUGAAAAUGUUGUUCCUCACUGCAUCAGAGAUUGCAUUCAGCUGAAUCUCAUGGACUCCUUUGCUGCUGCCACCUCUUGUGUAUGUCUGUUGAUAGUUUUCAGCCAUGUUUGCAAUUAAACUCCUUGCUGCAGAAGGUGUCUUAUCCAUGAGAGUGCCUCCACUUGUUGCAUCUAUCAUGUUUCUUUCUUGAGGCAGCAACCCUUCAUAAAAGUACUGCAGCAGCAGCUCUUCAUUGAUUUGGUGGUUGGGGCAGGUGGAACACAGUCUAUUAAAGCGUUCCCAAUACUCAAACAGGUUCUCUCCAGGCAGCUGCCUGAUGCCACUGAUCUCCUUUCUCACUGCUGCUGUUCUCGAUGCUGGAAAAAAUCGUUCCAGAAAUUUUCUCUUCAUGUCUCCCCAACUGGUUAUAGGUAUAUGCUGUGAAAACAGCCACUCCUUGGCAGCAUCCUGUAGGGAAAAUGGGAAGGCUUUCAUUUUAACAAUCUCCUCAGGUACGUCCAGCGGUCUCAUGGUUGAGCAGAUCACAGUGAACUCCAUUAUGUGCUUGUGAGGGUCCUCCCCUGCUGACCCAUGGAAUUUGGGAAGUAGUUGGAUGAAUCCAGACCUUAAAUCAAAGUUGGGGGCUCCUUGGACGUGAGGAACUUGGAUGCACAGGGGCUGAUACCCAAUGUCUUGAUUGGCUAACUCCUUCAAUGUUCUUUCUCUAGUCCCAGUAUCCAUCUCCUCAGUUUCUGAUGAAUCUGACACUUCCAGGACUGAUCCUGUGCCUUCAAAUCUACUCUGGAUUCUUUCUUUCUUGAUCCCUUUCCUGGUUCUGCCAAUCUCUGGAUCCAAUGUAUAGAGAGGGCUGUGGUUGGCCCUGGUCAUGCACUUUCAGCACUCAAACAGAGCUCACGAAUACUCCAAUGUCUGUCACCCAAUGGAAUUAUCCAAGAACCCAGUGCAAGAGAUCAAAGGUUCUACACUACAAAAGCUGAAAAUUCUAAAACUACAGCAAAGAGAAUUGAAAACUCAAGAAAACUGUAAAGAGCAAGGUAUAGAACACACUGCCUGUCACCCAGUGCGCGUACUCACGAAAUUACAAAACUCCCUUUUUAUAGGGAAAAUCCAAAAGCAGAAAAAGAGAAGAAAAAUGGGAAAAGGGGGAAAGAAUCAGUUACAGUAGAAGCUUCUAGAAUCACUCCUUCAACUACCUCUGAUCGCGACAGCUUCCCUUUGUUCUCCAACUGACACUGGUCCGAUCAACAUCUUCUGGUCACGCAUUUGGGCCGAUCAUCCUUUUGGGCUUUCUUCCUCUGGACUGUGGAGCUCGCAUCUCUGCUCUGGUUCUCCUCCUUGCACGAACCCUAGCUGUUGGGUUGAGAGGAUUUGGGAGAAAAAUCCCAAUUGCUUCGAACUUCUCUGCCUAAGUGCUUGAGCCUUACCCCAAAGGCAAUUUCCUCAAUUAGAACCUCGCUGCUUGAAACGCAGCGUUUCAUUAAUCAACUUCUGAAGGGUGCUCUUCUCCUCAGUACUGGCCCAGCUUGGUUGGCCCAAAUCAACACUUCAGAAUUAUUUUCCUUCAAAACGCACAGCUUCAGCACAUCAAUACCUAGCCCAACUCUUCCAGUCAUUGCCGGCCCAAAUUGCUUGGUUCAUUUUUUCAAGAGCUAAUCCUGUAAAAAGAAUGAAAAUGAAGAAUUAUACAGCAAAAAAAAGAAAGAAUAAAAUUCUAUAACAAUAAAAGAAAUUCUUAUUUUUAUUUUUAUUUUAUUAUUAUUAUUUUUUUUUUUUCUAAAAAGUAAAAUAACCUAUUUAUUUAAAAAUCUAUUUUAUUUAACUAAAAAGACAAAAUUAACACUAUUUCUAUUUAAAACCUAUUUUUAUCCUAAUUACUCUAAUCUAUGUUAAUUCUAGAAAAUUAAAAGCUAAACUAUCCUAAAAGAGUAAUAUUAACAUAAAAAAAUAGGAAAAUUUAGACACUUAACAGUCAUUUUAAACACGAUCGAUGAAACUUUAGAAAACACAUCUCUAACUCAAUUUGACCACUCCAAACCCAAAUUACCUAUCUAAACCACCCAAACUCAAUUUUACUUCUUUGAACACCCAUUUUCUACAACUAACAGCUAGAACAAGUGCUAAUAAACAUAAUAACAUACCUUAAACCAUCAAAUUGAACACAGACCUACUCCUUUAAAGAUUCACUACUCAUAAAUCCCAUUUAGUUAUACUCAAAAUCAUACAACACAACCUCGCUAACUCUUUAUUGCAUUACACACCAGAUUUUUACUGGUUUAACAACUCUCAUAAGUUCUAAAUGACUUUAAAACAAUUCCCAAGUUUUUGUUUUACACAACCAACCCUUUUCUCAAAAACUUACCUAUCAAGACCCCUAAUUUUACACUAAAAACUCUUCAUAAUUCCAUAAUGAACUACCUCUAUGUUCCAUAUCAGAUUUCUCAAAUUUCCAGAUCUUAACUAGCCUAAAAUGACAUUAGAACAACACAAGAAACUCAGUUUUACUCAUACAGCCUAUACUUCAAAGUUUCAUUUAUCAACACUCCAUUUUAUAACUAGAAAUGACUUAUAAAUUAGCCCAAUCAUUUCUCCUAAAUACUAAAACAAAUUUGACAUCAUUUAACAUCUCAACAAAAACAUGCUAAGCCAAAUUCAAUUUCCAAAUUAAAAUAACAAGUCAUACAAACAUUAUCCAAUCAAGAAUCAACAUUCAAAAACACUACAAACUCCAAAAAUAGCCAUUUUAACACAAUGAUCAACAUGCAUUAGUUUUAUAAGCAACCAAAUAUUAUUUCAUAUUCAAUAACUAAAUUAUAAAAUACUUUAGCUUCCCUUACCUCACAAAAUUGCCUAUCACGCUCUAGAACUACACUCUCAUUGUUUCCAACCGACUCAAGGAACUAUAAAUACACCUAUGAGACAUCGGAAAGAGAAACAAAAAGAGUCCUUAGGAUCUCUAAUUUAAAAGGAUCAAAGAAAACGGGUUGAAACAUACAUGCGAUGGACAACUCCAUGCAUGAACUCGAGUAAAGGACAAAGAGCAAAUGGGAGCCAAAACUUACUUGCUCUAUUAUAGAAACCAAUCGGAUAAAUGUGGAGAUUACCUCGCUAGUGAUCUCCUAGGUACCUCUUGAUCGUCAACUAGAUGAUCGAGGAGUUAGAAAAGUUAGAGAAAAGAUAGAGACAACUUAGAGAAAAGGUUUUAGAGAGAUAAACUGUAUUUUAAAUAAUGAAAUAAGUUUAAGAACUUCGAUUAUAUUAUCGAGUUAUUUUAAAAUAUAAUAUUAGGUUUCAUUAUUUUAAUAUAUCUAUAACCUCUAAUAUUUUAAUUUUUAGUUUCUUACAAUUAUGAUUUUUAUUUUUAUUUUUAUUGUUAUUAUUGUUUUUAUUUUUAAUAAUUUUAUUAUUAUUAUUAUUAUCGUUAUUAUUAUUAUUAUUAUUUAAUAUGUUAAUUAGUAUAAUUUAAUAUAUCUUAAUAUUGUAAUGUUUUAAAAUAUAAUUUAUUAAAAUAAAACAAGUAAAACAUAUUUUAAAUAAAAUUAAAAACAAAGAAAUUAGGAUAAAUGAAAUAAAUAAAUGAUGUGUCGGAUUUCAACAUAGAUACCAAAUUUCAUAGAGUGAUAAAUGGAAACUGGAUUUCGAAAUUCAACAGAAAUAUUUUUUGGAUUUUAAAAUAAUUUUCGAAAUUCAAUUACUUUUUUAUUCAAAAUUUAAAAUCUAAUUAGUUUCGAAAUCGGAUGAUUUGAAGAGAGUAGGAAAAAAAACUGAGUGAUAGGUAAUAGAGAGGAAAACAUUUUAUCCUUAUUAAAAGGUUAGUUUAUACAUUAACUUAAAAGUUUUGGAGAGUUAAGGAGAAAGCUCGGAGGUAGAGGAAGAAAAUGUUCGUACUUGGACUUCAAAGGACACGUAAGCCCAGAAGGUACAAAGAGCAUCCAAGUUCCACGACAGCUAAUAAAGUGUUAUUUUCUUCACCACCACACAAUACUCUCUACACCUCCCCAACAUUUCUUAUUUCCAAAACUAACAUUAUAUAAAUAUUCUUUUUUUUUUUUUACUUUUACCUAUUUUUAUUGUAAAACCAUAUUCCCAUUCCCAUUCAUUUUCUACUGCCCCAAUACCCCCACACCCUCACAUAACCUUCAUUCCUCUCUUAGCUCUCUUGCUUAUUUCAGUUAGUAUUGCCAGUUCAUAAUUCCUCUAUUGAUCGAUUUAACCUCAAAAUUCUAUAGGUGAAAAGUACGAGAAAGAGGUCAAAAGAAACGUUGCAGAAAAUGUAAGCCUCAUCGGGCGUCUAUAAAUACGCCAGCACAACGUCCCUCCUAGUCAACGCGUUCAAGGUUAACCCAACGGACGACCCACAUUUCUUGGUUACCACCUUCUUGUUCUCCACCCCGACAAACGUCGCAUUGUCGUACUUCACGAAACAGCCCUCGAGCUGCAACGCGCCGUCGCAGGAGGCGAAGUAAAGAAUGCCGAGUUGAGUGACCACACGCGCCACGCAGCGCGAACACUGAUCUUUGUUGAGGUCACCGCUGCACUAGAAGAGGUUGUAGACAGUGUGGGAGGAGGCAGCGGAAAGGGUGAAGUUGUUAUAGUUGGCGAAGUUGGCCGAGUUGAUGAGCAAGGUGAGGAACGAGUUGACAGUGCUCUCGUAGGGAGAACCCGACGUGUACUUGGGCUGGGAGCAACCGCCGAAGACGAAGGUGUCGAUGGCGGAGGAAGAGGGGGUUGCGAGAACAGAGAAGAUGAAGAGGAGAAGGAGACGAUGCAUGGUUGGGUUUGGCACAGUGCGUGCAUGGAAGCGAAGCGUGGUGUUGUGUUUUGGGGAGAGUGUUGUUAUUGUUACGGUGAAGGUUUCUUCCGAGAGAAUUUACGUAAGGAAGUACCAAGUUGAUGCAAGAAGAAGCUAUUUAUGAUUGUGGAAACAAAAGCAAGAAAAGUAGACUUUGUUCUAUGCUUUUCUCGGCUCGUAGUUACAGCUUUUCAAGAACAAACGUAAUCUUUAUGCUUGAACGGAUGUAGAUGUAGAUAUCCAAUGGAUGUUGAUAUCCAAGGGAUGUCGAUAUUCGUUUUGACGUCCGUUUAAGAAUAUAAUAGAAUAUAUUAAAUAUUUUAACUGCUGUUUUACAUUUAUUGUUUUCUGUUUGGGACAACUAUUCAUAAACAGUAAUCUAGAUUUUAGGAUUUUCUAUUUUGGGGAGUUUUUAGCUUUUCUACUAGCAUACAGAAAAUUUGUAUCUUUGGACUUACCAGAACCCUAUAUAAGGGAUUCCAGCAUUUACAACUUACAAUAACAUACACACAGAAUAAACAAAACACUUUUCUUCUUCUCAACGUAAAGAGUUUAGCGAACACUUACCUCUCUCACCCGCUCCUCUUCUUUGCCUUUCUUUCUCCUAUAGAUCGCCACCACUAGCUGCCACGUCGGAGCACCAUGGAGAUCACCUGGUUCGCCUCUCUCUCUCUCUCUCUCUCUCUCAACUGGCUCAAAUGCCAUUGAUCUCACCUAACAACUGAACCCCAGAAGCUUCGAGAGAGACUUUUGUCUCACGCUGUUGGGCCACUAGUUUUUGCCCUCUUUACCAAAAUAUUGGGCCAGUAUAUUUCUUUUUGGUAACAAAGCAGGUCCUAUACCUGUUCUGCCACUAUUUUCGCUGCAUUCUUGAUCCUGUUUCUUUAAGACUUUCUUGCUGACAUGGAGAAAGCUGACCCAGCCAACAACCCCUCCAGUCCCUGCUAUCUGCACCCAUGGGAGAACCCAGGCACUUCCCUCAUUUCUCAGGUUCUCAAUGAAUCUAACUACACUUCUUGGAGCAGAAACAUGAGAAGAGCCCUUCUUUCCAAGAACAAACUAAAAUUCAUAUAUGGAAGGAUCAAAAAGCCUCAAAGAAGUGACAGUCUUUUCGAUUCUUGGGAAAGAAGCAACAUCAUGGUACUAUCUUAGAUUACCAAGACUCUUUCACCCCAAAUAGCAGAAAGUGUAAUAUAUGUGGAGAAUGCUCAAGAAUUGUGGGAGGAAUUGAAAGAAAGGUUUUCCAAAGGGGAUCACUUUAUAUUCUAAGAUUUACUCCAAGAAAUUCACUCUAUCAAACAAGGUGAAAGAAGUGUGAACUAAUAUUUUACUGAUUUGAAGAUUUUGUGGGAAGAAUUGGAGUUUCUCAUACCUACCCCAAGUUGUACCUGCAAAAUUCCUUGUAGUUGUGAUUUAUCCAAAGCCUCACACAAAUACAGAGACAUGGAGCAUGUCAUAUGCUUUCUAAAAGGAUUGAACGAAUGCUAUAACACUGUCAAGACACAAAUAUUGCUUAUGGAACCCCUACCCAAAUUUAAUCGGGUGUUUUCAUUCAUCAUACAACAAGAAAUACAAGGAAAAUAUGAUUCUAACCAGAUUGAUAGCAAAAUCCUUGCUAACACCACUGAGAAACAAAAUCAGUAGAAAAGCAACCAAGGCUGGAAGACCUAUGGACAAGGAAAUCCCCCUAGAAGUCAAGGAAGAGGGAGAGGAAGAAAUCCCAACUAUGGGAAACAGUGUUCUCAUUGCCAUAAAAUGAACCAUACCAUCAAUGAGUGUUACUUUAAGCAUGGAUAUCCACCCUGUUACAAGAAAAACGACAACAAUAGUGAAAGUGGUGUCGGGUAGAACGAGUCGCGUUCAGCUAAUGCUUGUUCAGCAUCUACUGGACACAAGCCAGUCAACAGAAUGUUGUUCAAAGCCCCUUCACUCAGGAACAGAUGCAGAAGAUACUGCAGUUGCUGGAAAAGACUGAUAGCUCAUCUCACAGCAUCAACCAUAUACAAAAAGACAACACAGAGGACACACAAGGUGUGCUCUCAUGGAUUAUAGAUACAGGGGCCACUGAUCAUGUGACCCAUGACAAGAGUCAGUUCACAACUUUCUAUAAAAUCAACCCCAUAUCAGUUAAAUUUCCUAAUAAUUCUAUUGUUACUACCCAUUAUGCAGGAACCAUACAUUUCUCUAAAGAUUUUGUGAUUUUUAAUGUUCUAUACAUACCUGAAUUCACCUUUAAUCUCAUAUCUGUUCAGACUCUAACUAGAGAUAUAAAUUGUACCCUAACUUUCUCCUCUAUGACAUGUGAAAUUCAGGACAAUUCUACAUUGAAGAUGAUUGGAUAUGCUAGUGUAUGCAAAGGGCUUUACCACUUACAAUCUUUUGGAAGGAAUCGAGCUCCUAAUUUUAUUUUCUCUUACGAACAUAACAAUGUAAAUCUAUGGCACUGUAGACUUGGCCGUCCUGGACAUAAAGUUGUUGAAAAAAUAUGUAAAAAUUUUUCUUAUAUUCAGACAACUGCUGAUAAUGCUUGUGACAUUUGCCAUUAUGCUAAACAACACAAGUUACCUUUUCCUAAGAGCAAUUCUUUAUCUGCUAACUGUUUUGACAUGAUUCAUUGUGACAUUUGGGGUCUUAUUUCUACUUCCUCUGUUGUUGAUGACUAUAGUAGGCAUACUUGGGUUUUUCUCAUGCAUAAUAAGGGUCAAUCCAGGGAACUCCUACAGGCUUUCAUCAUGAAAAUUAAAACUCGGUUUAAUAAGACUAACAAAGUCAUUAGGACAGAUAUUGGUCCUGAAUUUAAUUGCUCUAGUACUUAUGAUUCUCAUGGAAUUGAACAUCAAAAGAGUUGUGUUGAAACUCCACAACAAAAUUCUGUUGUGGAAAGGAAACAUCAACACAUAUUGAAUGUUACUCGUAGCCUCAUUUUUCAAUCCAAUAUUCCUCAUAUUUAUUGGUCUUAUGCUCUAUCCCAUGUUGUACAUUUGAUUAACAGAUUACCUUCCCCUGCCAUUAAAGAUAAGACACCUUUUGAACUCUUACAUAAUAAUCCACCCACCUAUCUUUAUUUAAAAGUUUUUGGUUGUCUUUGUUUUGCAUCUACCUUGGAGAGCAACAGAAGUAAACUUGACCUUAGGGCUAGAAAGGGCAUAUUUCUAGGACAUAAGAGUGGGGUAAAAGGGUAUAUAGUUCUGGACAUUAAUAGUAGAGAAAUAUUCAUAAGUAGAAACAUCAUUUUUUAUGAGGAUAUUUCUCCUUGAUGAUAUUACCUGCAACCAUGAGAAAGACUCUGUUGAGAAUGAAAGAGGAAACCCGAGCCCUACUCAGAGUAGUUCUAUUGAGAAAAGCUCUGUUGAGGACAGUACUGUCAUUGAAGACACUAAUUAUAUGGAACUGGAACAAGGAAACAAUCAAAAGAGAUCUAGCAGAGUUAGAAAGACUCCAGAAUACUUGAAGAGUUAUGUACAAGAAGGUGAUCAAUCCACAUCUACCUAUUCGUGUACCAAGAAUGGUUUGAGUACUCCUUACCCUAUAACAAGUGUUUUGUCUUACAAAUCUCUUUCUAAUAAACAUUUAAAGUAUACUCUUGCUAUAAAUGCCAAUAAGGAACCCAGUUCCUAUGAAGAGGCCAAGAGCAACCCUGGGUGGACCCAUGCCAUGCAAAAGGAAAUUCGGGCUCUACAAGCAAAUAGGACCUGGUUCUUGACUCAACUCCCUCUAGGGAAGAGAUUUAUUGGAUGUAAGUGGGUCUAUAAGAUAAAGCAUAAGGUUGAUGGCACUAUUGAAAGAUAUAAAGCUCGGUUGGUAGCCAAAGGCUACACCCAACAAGAGGGAAUAGAUUUCUUGGACACCUUUUCUCCUGUUGCUAAACUUACUUUUGUUAGGCUAAUGCUUGCUCUUGCAGCCUCUAAAAAUUGGUUUCUACAUCAACUUGAUGUGGACAAUGCUUUUCUUCAUGGACACUUAAAUGAAGAUGUGUAUAUGGAUCCUCCACCAGGUUUAGAUGUUGAUAUUAAAGGACAAGUCUGUAAACUGACUAAGUCUUUAUAUGGGUUGAAACAGGAUAACAGACAGUGGUUUGACAAGCUCUCCACAUUCCUUAUCUCUUCCGGAUAUGUUCAAUCUAGAUCCGACCAUUCCUUAUUUGUUAAGAAAACUCCUACAGAUUUCACAACUCUACUUGUGUAUGUUGAUGAUAUUGUAUUGACAGGAAAUUCAAUGAACGAGAUCAGCCUCAUAAAGACUCUUUUGGACAUUCAAUUUCAGAUUAAGGAUCUAGGAGAACUCAAAUACUUUCUAGAUUUUGAGGUUGUUAGAUCUAAUAAAGGAAUACACCUAUGUCAAAGGAAGUAUGCCCUUGAUAUUCUUGAAGAAACAGGGAUGCUAGGGAGCAAACCUAGCUUUACACCCUAUUUAAGUUGCACCAGCUCUCUAUACAAAACGGAGGACUAUAUGGAAAAUCCCAAUGAUUAUCGAAGAUUCAUAGGGAAACUCUUCUACCUUACUAAUAUUAGACCUGAUUUAUGCUUUACAGUUAACCUUUUAAGUCAGUUUAUGCAGGAACCAACCAAAUACCACUAUCAGGCCUUACAACAUGUUCUUAGAUAUGUCAACUCUGAAGAACUUUUCUUUGCUUCUGAUUCUAAUAUACAGAUAAAAGGUUUCAGUGAUUCGGAUUAGGCCACCUGCCCCAAUAUGAGAAGAUCCACAACUGGUUACUGUAUUUUCCUAGGUAGUUCUCUCGUCUCAUGGAGAUCAAAGAAGCAAACUACUGUCUCAAGGUCUUCUAUAGAGGCAUAGUACAUAGGCCUUGCAACCAUUGCUUGCGAGAUGUAAUGGUUACACUAUCUCCUUCAAGACCUCCAUGUUAAGCCAAUAGCUACUGUCGUCUUGUAUUGUGACAACAACUUAGCCAGGCACAUUGCUCAUAACCAAAGCUUUCAUGAGCGAACCAAGCAUAUAGAGUUGGAUUGUCAUGUUGUUCGUGAGAAAAUACAGGCCAAGUUUCUCCACUAAGUUCCCUCAUCGCACUCGUUUCAAAUCCAUUAUUCCUAAGCUUAGAAUGGUGAAUAUACACCAUUCAGCUUGAGGGGAAGCUAUUAAAUAUUUUAACUGUUUCUGUUUACCAUUUAUUGUUUUCUGUUUGGAACAACUGUUCAUAAGAACAAUCAUCUAGAUUUUAGGGUUUUCUGUUUUGGGGGUUUUCAGCUUUUCUGCUAGCAUUUAGAAAGCUUGUAUCUUUGGACUUACUGGAACCCUAUAUAAGGAAUUCCAGCAUUUACAACUUACAAUAACAUACGCACAAAAUAAACAGAUCAUUUUUCUUCGUCUCAACGUAAAGAGUUCAGCGAACACUUACCUCUCUCACCUGCUCCUCUUCUUUGCCUUUCUUUCUCCGAUCGGCCGCCACCAUUAGCUGCCACGCCAGAGAACCAUGGUGAUCGCCUGGUUCGCCUCUCUCUCUCAGCUGGCUCGAAUGCCAUUGAUCUCUCCUAACAACUGAACCCCAGAAGCUUCGAGAGAGACUCUUGUCUCACACUGUUAGGCCACCAGUUUUGGGUCUCUUUAACAAAAUAUUGGGCCAAUAUAUUUCUUUAGAAUAAAUUAUAAAGUUAAAAUUUUUAAUAAAAAAUUAAAUAUCAUAAAAGGACAAAAAUGGAAUGGAAAAGUGUAAGAAACACUAUAUGGUGGUGGAGGGAGUAACACUCCAGCUAAUAACCAUGUGUCCAAAUCACAGAAUUAAGGAAAUUUUACAAAUCUAUAUUUAGAAUCAAAUUGCUAAUCUAAAAUUUAGUCACUUAAAACUGUAAUUAAAUUCUUACUAUUUAAUUCUAAAGUUAGCAAUUGAAAUCGUAAUUUACAGAUUAUUAAAAAUGGUAUUGAUAUUUGAUUAUACGUUUUGUCCUCAAAGUUACACAAACUCACCACUUUAUCUCUAAUUUUUCUUUCGCGUAUUAACUUACCUUCGAACUCUCUGACAAUGCUUUAAUUUGUUCUUCUAUAAAAGUCUGCCCACAUAUCUUCUUAACUUGAUUAUUAUUAAAUAGCAAAAUUUACACAAAUUUAUUGACAAAACUUAUACCAUUUAUUGACAUAAAAAAUAGCAAAUUUUUGAACUUAAAAAAAAUAAUGAUUACGGAACUUAUCCCACGGCAUGCCUCUUAUUAUUGAAGUAGGAAGAAUGGAAAUAUUUUAAAUAUUCACAUAUGGAAGUGUUAUAUGCAUAAUAUGAUAGGUACAAGAUCAAAUAUCGAGUAGGGAAUAAGAAAUAAAAAUUUAAUCGCAGACCUUAAUGGAUAAGUAUUUGUUAUCAAGGAUUACAUCAUUUCACAUUUUAUACUUAAUCUUAACAAAAUAAAAUUUAUAUUGGAUGACAGGUUGGUUGUCCUCCAAGUUGUAUAUCUGCUAUAGAAGCUAAGUGUAUAUGGUUAUAUUUGAAGGUUAUGGAGGUGUGUGUCAAAUUUACUCAUAAUUAACCAUACAAUACAAACACAUAAAAAGCAUAGAAAGUAUUGAAAAAAAGUAGAAGGAAAACAAGAAACUAGAAUACAUGCAAUAAUUAACUUGAUUUGAAUGAAAUGUAAAUGAACUUCAAUCUACGUCCAGAAAGAAUGUUUACUCUAAAUGAAAGAUUACAAGAGAAAGUUUUCUCACUCAAGAGAACUCAAACAUUACAACUUCUGGUUAACCAAAUACAAAAAUUAUGUUUCUAAUAUAAUACCACUAAAUAAUCGUGAAAAUUACACUCCUUUGACAUGUUCAUUUUUCUUUCUUUUUUUUUUUUAAUUUUAUCCUUCCAGUGAAUGUAUAAGCUACUUGGAAACUUUAUAUAGAUUCAUAAUUUAGUUUGAAUUAAUAUAUUACACAUGAUCGAAGAAGGCUAUAUCAGAUAGCCAAAAUAGAAUGCAGUCCUGGAGAGUCCCAAGUGCUUAGUUAUGGUAGUGUUGUUGUUGGUAGCUUGUUCCUUCUGUUUAUUUUAGUCGGUAACUCUUGUGCGACGAAGUAGUGGGCAACACAUUGCUGCUAGAGUCAAACAUUUCUGGUGGAAGAUAAGAGUGAAAGGAAAAAGGGCAAUCCACUAGACUAGCAGAAGAUGAUGGGUGGAUCCCGCAUUCUUCCAAUUUUCAUGUGAUCAUCCACUAUACCACACUUUCAAUUUCAUGUACUGCUACUCCAGAAGUUGCUUCCCCAUUUUCAAUAUCAGUGAUAUAUAGUGAUAUAUAGCUGGAGUAAGGUAAACAAUUUCAUGCUUCAUAUCUUAUCAUCCACUUCACACAUGUCCACAUGCAUAAAAAGCUUCUUCUUAUGCCAUUUUUUUUGUUCUAUAACAUACUGUUCUCUAUCUCUUGUUCUUCAUACCAGUAAUUUUAAUAUAUUUCUAUAGUUAAUAAUCCCAGCUCAGAGAGAGUAAGACCAAUUGUUUAAUAUUUAGGAAGAAAUCUUUGCAUAAUUUAUAGUGAAUUUUAAUCUCAUUCUACCGGUUGAAUCAAAAUCUUAUAUGAUAUUCCAAUGAACAGCACACUGAUAUAUUAUAUGUGUAUCUCCAAACAGUAUAAAUUUGGUACACAGUAAAUAAUCACAGUACCUUCAAUUCGUUCCAGAUUUGAAUUCACUCACACAAUCCGACUCCUCAAGAAAUUGUUUUCCAUUCUCUAAAAAAAAGGGUUACAGUAUGUUCAUAAGCCAAGUGAUGUAUCAGGAUAAAUCCACAUCAUGAUCAAGUUGCUGAACAGCUGCUGGAAAUUUGAAAGAAAAAGAGAACUGGUUCCAGGGUUCAUUGGUGCUAAGUGUGAACAUCCAAGAUGAAUGAUUCCGACAUUCUCAAGAGAAAACGGAUAUAGGUUUUAUCAGAGAAAGGAGAAUAGGUUUAGAACAUGAUCUGGCGUAGGUAGCACAGUGAGAAGUGAGAACAUGAUCAGUGUAAUGGUUGUGGUGGUUGACAGCAAAAGCACACCAGUGGGUCUUAUAGUGCGAUUUUCUGUACUUGAACCCAACCAACUACUUCAUGUGCAGUGGGCCACACUUCGAGAAAUUAAGACACACUUUUGGGCCCCUCCAUUUGUGUAAUGGGCCAGGCCCAUUACUAUAUAUACACAAGCACUUAGCAUUCCAAAAUCAUACUUUGCCAUGGCAACUUCUAAAGUAGUUCUCGGUAACAUUCUCUUUGUGUUUGUUUGUUUAGGAAUUUGCUCUGCUGCAAGAACACUCCUCACUCUAGAGGACCGUGUCAACUUGCAUGUUGGCACUGCUGUUGGUGGAUAUGGCGGUGGUGGAGGAAGUGGCGGCGGAGGAGGAGGAGGAGGAGGUGCUGGAGUAGAGCACGGUGCUGGUGGCUACGGAGAAGGAGCUGGAGGAGGUGAAGGUGCCGGUGCUGGAUAUGGGGCUGCGGGUGGUGGACACGGUGGUGGUGGAGGAAACGGUGGUGGCGGUGGCGGUGGUGCUGAUGGAGGUGGAUACGGUGGAGGGGCUGGUAAGGGUGGUGGUGAAGGAUAUGGCGGAGGUGGAGCAAACGGGGGUGGUUAUGGUGGUGGAAGUGGAGGAGGAGGUGGCGGUGGUGCAGGGGGUGCUGGUAGUGGUUAUGGAGGCGGGGAAGGGAGUGGGACUGGUGGUGGCUACGGUGGAGCCAAUGGUGGAGGAGGAGGUGGAGGAAGGGGUGGGGGUGGUGGAGGAGGUGCUGGCGGAGCAAAUGGAGGAGGAUAUGGUGGUGGUGAGGGAGCUGGACAAGGAGCCGGUGGAGGAUACGGUGGUGGAGCAGCUGGUGGCGGUGGGGGUGGCUCUGGUGGCGGUGGCGGUGGCGGUGGAGGCUAUGGUGGUGGAGGUGCACGUGGGGGUGGAUAUGGAGGAGGGGGUGGGGGUGGCGAAGGUGGUGGCCACGGUGGUGGAUACUACCCAUGAGAUGAAUACAUCACCAAAGAAAAUAUGGUAGCUAGCUCGGUGUGGCUAUAGUAAAAAUAAUAAGAAAAUGUAAGGGUACGAGGAUGCUGAUAAACUAUUUAUGCAUUCUAUUCUAAUUUAUGUUUUACAUAUAAGUGGAAUGGGUUGAAGCUCUGCAAGAUUUACGCUAAUAUUGAUGUAUACAUGCAAGACUCUUUACGAUAUUUGAAUGUGAUGUCUUUAUUAAUCAUAUACAUGCAAGACUACAUUGCCCUAUUCCAUGAACUUCCGUUAUGAGUGUCUUUCUUGCGAGAAACUAGCUUAAAGAAGCCAUGAUGGAAAACAUGCCAACUUGAGGACUUUGUUAUAAAAAAUAAAUAGGAAAC
rnacentral:lncRNA from 1 species